AUCUUCUGAAGGUUUGUGCAGAUCUCUGUAGCCCAGCCAUGUCUCUCUCUCUCUCUCUCUCUCUCUCUAGAGUUUUAUGAGACAAAAGAGAGAAUAUAAGAAGAGUAUAGCACUUGGAUUAGUCUUGUGACAUAUAAAAAGGAUAGGAAAGGGAUGGGAAAUAUAUAGAGGAGAGGAGAGAACAGUCAAGAGAUGGGUUAUAUGGGAGUUAUGAAAGAGGAGAGAGAAAGAGAUGGGUGGCUCAUAAUACAAUAUAUAAUUAGGAUAAUUAAUACAUCAAUUUGUAAUUAAAUUUAUAGUGUGACUAAGUUUGUUUUGUCCCUUUAUGCAGGUUAUACUUAUUAGAUUGCUUUUAAACGUAAAUAACAAUGUUGUUAAGACUAAAUAAUUGACUAAAUAUUAGCUCAAACAUUUGACCAAUCAAGAUAGUAUAAAUCAGAAAUAAUCAGCGAAAUGCUAAGUUGAAAUUUUAAGCCUCAAAAGUAUGAGAUUCAAUUUUGCAGUACUCAUUGUUUGUAGGAAAAACCUGCUAGGAAUAUUAUUAGCAUACAAUUCUUAAUUUAAAAGAGUAUUUAAAAGUACUUCAUCAAAAAGCACUUAGAACCUAUAGCAAAAGGUGACAGGCCUUUAAGCAGCGGGAAACUAUUUUCUACAUGUGUUCAUAACUUCUAUCAUUUCACCAUGGUGCAAUAUUAUGCAGCCGCAUUUAAAUUAAAAAAUCAUUAAUAAACAAUAAAAAGAUGGUCCACGGAGACUAAAGUUGAGUAACUAAUAAGACAUCAAUUAAUAGUAAUAAGUUUACGCAACCACUUUGACUUCGACCAUAUGAAGUUGCAAUCACAAAAAGAAAAACCAUGCAACAAGAAGCAUAUUCAAACAGCAGAAAUUCAAAUCCUGUUCUAUGGUUUAGUUUCCAAUACUAUGCAAUCGACUGAAAUUUAAACAGAAUUGUCAAAAUUUAUAUAGAAUCAUCUCUGUGACUACAUAAUUAAAAUCAAGUCCAGCUCUAAACGUUGAGAUAGAUAUGGUUUAGUUUCCAAUACUAUGCAAUCGACUGAAAUUUAAACAGAAUUGUCAAAAUUUAUAUAGAAUCAUCUCUGUGACUACAUAAUUAAAAUCAAGUCCAGUUCUAAACGUUGAGAUAGACGAUUUUGGUUGAACACUUCGACAGCGAUGGCUAAAUUUAACACCAGCAAAUUAUCACAAACAAAAUUUUUACCCUGUAAUUUGCAUUAAUAGCCAAUGCCAAGCUCAGAUAACUUGGUAAAAAGAUCCUUGACUAGACAACUAUACAUCAAAUUAAGGGUACAUUACAAAAUUAAGGAAAGCAUGGAAAUUCCCCAAUACAAACCAUUUUAUUCUUCAAGCAAAAAUUUCUUGAUAUAAACUAAUGAUACAAACGUGAAAAAUACAAAGAUCUCAAAUUCAUAGAGUUAGGCACAUCAAUUAUUUACCAGUUUGAGAAUCUAUACCUCCCCAGUAACAAAAAAUAGAAAAAAAAAAAAGAAAAAAAAAAAGAAAGAAAAGGGAAAAGAAACAGCGGCUAUAGAUGCAACAUGAAAUCACUUAGAUCAAUUCAUUCCGACAAGAACCAUAUCGAUCUGUUGACGUGCGAACAUAUUCAUAAAUUGGAGACCGAAUUCACCUUUUUUGGCAGAAUCUCGUGGUAACCUGGAUCGCCCUCAUGAACCCAUGUAGAGAUAAGAUGGUGGGCGAUGGCAAAAGGCCCAGGAAUAAACAUCUGGGCGAGCUCACCGCUCUCCACAUUGAAGUCCGAGGAAGGAAAGUUUUGACCUUUCUCAACACCUUUGCACAUCUGAUUGACCUUAAAGGCGGCAGUUCUCUGCGCUUUCUCAUAUUCUGCGAAUGUCAGUGCUUUCUUCACAUCCUCUCUACUGUGCCAUUCGGCAUCUGAAAAUUAGAGGAAUGAAUUGUUUAAGAGGAUGAGCUGAUGCAGAACUUACUCCAAUAUAUUUGAAGGGUGUUUAUCAAUAUGGACCAAUGUAAAAUUAGAAACAUGAAUAAGAAGACAUGGAACAUAUGCUAGUAUCAUUUUAUAAUACCAUAUUAAGAAAAGUUAAAAAUUUCAAACAACCAUAUUUUAUUUUAUUAAACAAAUAAAUCAGACAAAUCAAUAAUGCAUUACUUAUGAUUAUUAGUUAAAAAGUACCUUCCAGCUCCUCCUUGUCCACACGAAUUUCAAAUGAUGUAGCAUAUGCAAAGAAGCCCACCAUCAACUGGCAUGGCAUACUGUUUGGCCCCACUGAAAAUAAUCAUAUAUCAAACAUCAAUCACCAUGAUGCAAUUCUUAUUGUUUUCUAAAUCGAUAAUUAGAUGAACACAUAAAUAGCCAGUAGGUAGCCAGUAAGGCAUAUAUUUAGCCCAUUCAGCAUUUAGUUGGUAUCAGGUUAACUUGGGCUGCAAAAUAAUUUGUAAAUGAUCCCACAUAUAAUUGAUCACUGUUAGCAACUCACAAGAACAAACUGAAUCCAAAGAAAUGGUGCAACUAUAGAAAACAUACAUCACAUUUCCAACAUAAAUAAAAUGAAAUCAUUAAGCCUAAGUUGAUACCAGGCCAUGGCUGCGAACUAUGAUAUACAACUUCGCCAACUUCGAUACCAGUCUCUUCCCACGUUUCUCUUCUCACUGCCUCUUCUAAGCUUUCCCCUGGCUAAGAACAGAGAUUUUCAGUCAAUAAAAUCUUCAUGAAAUGCUGUACAAAUCGAAAUAACGAUUUUUCAGACAUCAACUAGUCCUUUUGUCAGAAAAAACUUCUUUGGGCCAGAUCAAGCAAUUUUCAACUUGCAAAAUGUACCGUCCAACAGCAUUAUAUUGUUUAAUAACAGUCACAAAGCGCAAUUUAGUAUAGCUUUUAAGAACAGACAUGUUCUUUCAUGUAUUAAACCACAGGUCACGUAUUCCUUAGAUCGUACGUAAAUCUUAAUGCAAAACUUUUCACAAAGAAAUAUUGGAAUUUGCUUCUAAAUGUUUGCCUCCACGAGAACUAAAAGAUUGAAACAACAUUUAGACUAGCAUAACGGGGUCAGAAUCUUGUGCAAUAAAAGAGGUGUAAUUUAGUAAAAUAAGAAUAUUUAGUGAAGUUCAGCAGGAGAAUUCCAGUACCUCGAUGAAACCAGCAAGGCAACUCCACAUACGUGGUACAAAUCUUGAUUGGCGGCUCAAAAGUGCACGAUCAUUUGCUUUAUCAAUAACCAACAUAAUCACAACCUGUUAAACAUCAAAAGACACAUUUAGUUAUUAAAGUGACCAAAUCCCUCAGUUCCAUGAAGCACAACAAUAUAGAGCAAACAUUUCAAUUUUAGUUCCUAGUUCCACCGAGAUUCAAGUCUACAUAUUGCAACUCAUAAUUUAAGCAGGGAUAAAACAUACAGGAUCAACUCGAGGGUAUACUCUCUUCUUGCAGGUCUCAUCUGUGCAUUGCUUCCGUCUCCCUGCACCAAUAGGAACUGUCCUGGAUCCGCAGUUUCCACAGAACCGCGAAAUACGGUGCCAUUCUAGUAAUGCCCUGGCCUGUUCAAAGGCAAAUCAAUCAGAUAAAAUCUCUAUUUUGCAUUACUGAAUAAAGCAUAGACAAAGAACAGUUUAGUCCAAACUUGCUGUUUCAUAGAUGGUACUUGGAAUAACAAAAAUAAGAAAUUAAUGGACUCAAAUAUACAGCCACAAAAUAAAACAUGCACAUGUGAUCAAUAAUAUAAUGAAGAAGAAGAAGAAGAAGAAGAAGAAGAGCACAUACAUGGCCAGCAAUGGCUAACUCCCCCAUGGUGCCGAUGUCGGCCCAAUCAGUGGCGACCAUCAGAGUUCUCAGCUCGACGAAGCACAAUCCAUCCCUCUCCCCACCCAAUUCGACACCCCGCGAUUCAGAAACAUCAAUAGCCCAAUAAACCGCGUCCUCCUCCUCUCCCGACCCCGAACCUGAACCGGACCCCAAAUACACGAACGAAUCGGCAGAGAAACCCUUGAAUUCGGACGGCGAAACCCACCCGAGGUGCCACUUCGGCGCCGAAUCCGGAGCCGAAUCCACCGAUCGCGCCAAAGGCCGGCCCUUUCUGAAGGGUAGCACCUUGAGAUUGAGACCAGGGGAAGGGGCCUCACACUCCUCUCCGGCGACGAGGAGGGAUCUGAGGGCGUCCAGGGCGGCGCCGCCGUCGCCGCCGCCGCCGUCGGGUUUGGCGUGGAGAGUCUUUAGAGGGUUUCCGGCAAAGGCAUGGGCGUGGAGAUGGAUGGACAUGGUGGUGAGAACGGAGAUAGGGUUUCCUCCUCUUCUUCAAACCUGUGUUAGAGUUAGUGUUGGGGUUAGGGUUAGGGUUAGGGUUAGGGUUUAGCCGCCAUUGUCGACGCCGUAGCGUGUGGGAUUUGGGAGGGAGACGAAGAAGAGAGAGAGAGAGAGAGAGAGAGAGAGAGAGGAUACGAAGAGUGGGUGAAGUGAAGGCGCUCAGAGUGUGCCACGUUGGUCUGUUUGGGGGAAAUUGCAACGUAGUCCUUAAUUCAUGGUAUUAUAAUUAAUUAGUAUCUAAAUUGUCACGUAACUACAUCAGCAUUUCAAUUGUGUUUCGAUAGAAAUGCAAGAAGAUCCUUUAAAUAUUAUCUUUUCUUGACAUUUUUAUAAAUGUCUAGUUAUUUUGAUUUUAAUUAGCUUAAUUAAUCAAAUUAUAAAUUUUAAUAUAAUUAAUAAAAGAAAAGAUAUAACCCGAAACGCCCCAAAGAGAAACACCAUUUAACAAAUAAAUUUUAGAAUAAUCCUGAGUAUGAUUCACGGAUCGCAAAAUAAAAUUUGUUCUGAUCAAAUCCAACCCGAUUCAUUACAAAUCAAAAUCGAGUCAAAUAAUUUUUGCUUAGAUCUAUUCGGUAGUACUUUGUAAAAACCAAAAUAAUUAAUGUACUAAAAACUUGUUUGGCCUAGCAGCAGCACUUGUCUUAAAAUGUAAAAUUAUAUGAUUGCGUGUGAAACCACAUGCACAAUUAUACAUUUCAAAAGAGCCACUACAAUUAUGCGCCAAAAAAGUCUUGGACAAUACAGCAGCUAAACAUCUACUAAAUCUUUUAUUAAAUCAAGAGAUACACAUAAAAUAUUUUUUGUGACCACUGUUUUUGCUCUUUUUUAAGCAAAAUUUACGUGUCUGAUCAAAAAUCAAGCAACUAAUAUGUGCAUGGUAUUAGUGAAAGGUCUAGAAAACAUAAUAAAGGGAAAAAAUUUAUAAAAAAGAACUAGGGAAUAGGCAAAAUUAGUCAUUUAUUGCUUCGUAUAUGACUGCUAUUACAUAUUUAUCAUAUCACGUGUACCAUAUACGAGAAUAUUAUGUCAUCACAUCUCCCUCGUGGCCAUUCUCAUCUCUUGUGGCCCAAAUCACUUUCAGGUUUCUUUACCUGCCACUGAAAAAAAAUUUCUCAACUAAUUAAGACAAAAAAAAAUAAUAAUAAUAAGAGAAAUUUGAAAAAAUUUUAAGUUUCUUUCAAAUCAAAUUCCAAUAAGAAAACAACAUUUACCAGGUUCGCGAGGUGCAUUGCAUCCGAAGCACUCCGUCCUGCUAGCGAAGUUGUGUUUGUUGCAACCCGGCCUGCGAAAACACAGAGACGGAUUAGUGACACUAAUAAGUGGAUCAUAUCGCGUCGAUCACUACAGAAUUGUUUAGUGGCACAUUCUUUUAGAAAAUUUUAGUUAGCUCAUAGUGUUAACAACCUAAAAAAUUGCUUGUAAUUAGUUACCUUAACAUAUGCACUGUGAGACUACUACACCUCAAAAAACAAAAUAAAAAUAAAACAACGAGGAAAAUAUAUAUAUAUAUAUAUAUAUAUAUAGAGAGAGAGAGAGAGAGAGAGAGAGAGAGAGAGAGAGAGAGAGGCUGGAAUACUAUUGAUAGGAAAAGACACUUUUUGCUAGCAACUUUUUAAUUCUUGGAUGAGAAAUUGUAGGAUUAGGAUAAUAUUAGUCCCUUAGGGUUGAGUAAUUUUCACUGGGUUAUAAUAUUUAAUCUAAUAAUUAGAAACGAUGAAAGAAAUUAAUUUAAAAACUAAAAACUUGAUAGCAAAAAAAUUUUUUUACUAUCAAUAAUAUUCUAACCCAACUCUCUCUCUCUCUCUCUCUCUAUAGAGACAGAGAGAGAGAGAGAGAGAGUCCGGCUAUAGUACUUGUAAAAGCACAAAGCACUUAGUGCUUAUAAAUUUUUUACCGUCAGAUAUACGUCUUUCAUCAUUUUUACCCGUUAGAUUAUACUAUUCAACCAACCACCCACUCAAUCCUAGGGGGCCCACAUCAUCCUAACCGCACAUCUCUUAAUUUAAGGGUCGAAAACUUACAAAUACCAAUGACUUGAUUUUUUAAAAGUAUAGAGGUUCGAUUAUAUAUAUAUAUAUAUAUAUAUAUAUAUAUAUAUAUAUAUAGAGUGAGGUUACUAUGCUAUCGGAAGCACGGAGCCUUCCGUGCUUCCAACUCGUUUUCGAUGUUGCGACUUUCGAAUCGUCGAUCGGCUCCGUUAAACUUGAUCUAGAGUAUUUGAAGUACCUAGAAAAUAAAUUUUAUGAUUUUACGAUAUCAUUUGCCUAGUGAACGAAGGGGCUCAAAAUCAACGGCUGAAAAUAAAAAUCUUACAAAAUGUAAUAAUAUGACAUUAAAAUUUUAAAUCAAAGAUAUUGAUCUUGUUUUAUAUAGUAUAAAGAAUUUUCUAUCAAAAUUUCACGUGAUUUGGAUAUUUCUACACCGUUAAACUUGCAAACGGCUCACUACGGCCAUUGAAAUUUGUUGAUUUUGAGCCCAUUCGAUCACUAGGCAAAUGAUAUCGAAAAAUAAUAAAAUUUAUUUUCUAGGUACUCCAAAUACUCUAGAUCAAGUUUAACGGAGCCGAUCGACGAUUCGAAAGUCGCAACAUCGAAAACGAGCUGGAAGCACGGAAGGCUCCGUGCUUCCGAUAGCAUAGUAGCCUCACUCUAUAUAUAUAUAUAUAUAUAUAUAUAUAUAUAUAUAUAUAUAUAUAUAUAUAUAUAUGUAUGUAUAUAUAUAUAUAUAUGUGAGAAGUUCAUUCCAAGUGUUUGGUAACGGAGGCUUUGUACGUAUCAGAUUUUAAAAACCAAAGCAUGUAUAUAAUCCAAUUAGACUGAUUGGAACUGUUGCAGUGUACUAAAAAUUCAAUAAUUAAUGUUCGAGUUCUUAAGUUUAAAAUUUAAUUAUUUCACAUUUGUAAUUAAGUUUAUUUCUAAUAAAAACAAUGAAGAUAAUUUGCCACCUUCCUCUUUUUUAAAAAAAAAAAAAAAAACCUAAUUAAUUAGCUGUAUCUUUGGAUAAGCAAGUUUGCUUCUUUGUUUGUUUGUUCCUCCUCCAAUAUUCCCCCAUCGUCCACUCUCCUUAACUUUGUUUUUUUGCGAGGAAAGAAGGAUAAAAGGGGUGCAAACUUUGAUGUUGCGUUUUGAUCUGGUGCACUGCACCUUUUCGUUCAUCAAAAUUAUCUUAUACUUUAUUUCCCAUCAUUUAUAGAGUUAUAAAUAGUACAAUAAGAUAUUAUCAACAUUUAUGAACUGAUCGUUCCAUUGAUCGCUUACUUUCAACUAACCAUCUAUACAUCUCAUUGAAAGAAAGAAAAAAAAAGGUUGAAACUUCGUGAAAGGAAAAUAAUAAUAAUAAUAAUAAUAAUAAUAAUCACGGUGCACAUAAUAUCUAUACUUCUAUACUAAUAUAUGAAUCCCCAAUAUCUUGCUGACAUGGUGUUAGCUCCUUCUUUCAAAACUGCUCUCUUUCAUCUCCCAACCUCCAAAACCCUUCAUCUUCAAAACCGUUCCCUCCUUAUCUCCCAAUAAAAUCACAAUUGGAUGCAUAUAAUUGCACCAAAACUAUUCCCUCUCAUCUCCCAACCUCCAAAAUCCCUCAUCUUCCAAAACCGUUACCUCCUUAUCUCCCAAUAAAAUCACAAUUGAAUGCAUGUACUUCAACAAAAUUUUGUAGAAUUAUUGACCUUCCACCUGUUGAAUUGAGAGCGCAAUAGAAUAAAAGGUUCGAUUUCUUAUAGCUCUACUUCUAGCAAUAGUUUCUUUUUUCGUUUUUCACAUUUAAUUUGUUGUUCGCUUGGAGGUUAGGAAAGCAUUUUUGGGUGUUUUUUUUGUAUUUUUGGCAUAUAUUAUGUUUUUUUUAAUUCGUUCUAACUUCUUGAAAAGUUUCCUUUUGUUUCAGAGAGAUGAUUAUUUUUUGUCUUGAAUGUUUAGAAUAUUUUUUCAAUAUUAUUAUGGGAAUUUUUUCUCCUCAAGGGGCUUUUUAUUGUUGGUUUUAUUGUUGAUUUCUAUAUUUUUCCUCUUAAAUACAAACCGACACUAAUGUGACACUGAUAAUAUUAGAUUAUUAUCACAGUGUAUUAUACAAUAAUUAAAAAAUCGCAUCGAUGUCGCGCAUGAUAUAUAUAUAUAUAUAUAUAUAAUGCUCGGGUUACUUCAUUAUUGAUUUUUUAAAAAAAUUUGAUUUGCGUCAAAAAAAGAAUCAGACGGAUGAAUCUGCUUAUUUGAUUUGUUAAAUGUCAAUUAAAAUCUUUUCAGUGUGCUCUUUAAUAUUUAUUAUCUUUCACUUGCAAUAUUUCAAACAUUUUUUUUUAUAAUAUCUAUGUAAUAAUUUUUCUUCUCAUAUAAUUCUUACUUUUUUUUCGGUUUCUUUUAUUAUUUUUUGUUGAGUUGUGAUUCCAUUUUAAAUAUUUUUUAAUGUGUUUUUUAUAUUAUUAAGUCUAAUCAAAUAUAGUUAUAUUUUUUUUCUUCUUUACAUUCAUAUUUAUUUAUUUAAUUUGUAAAUUUUUAUUAAAAUUUUUUUUUUUGCUGCAUCGCGCGGGACACUACACUAGUAUAAUAAGGAUCUUGAAAAGAACUAUACGGUGCAUAUAUAUAUAUACUAUACCUAGUGCAAAUCCAGUCGCCGAACUUCCACCCGGCGCGCGCACGAGUGCGCGGUGCGUAGCCGCCGCCGCUGCCGAAUCCGAAGGAGGAGUUGGCACCGCUGGCUGCCGGGGGCCGCUGCUCGUGGCAGCGCUGGCAGGAGUCGCGGCGGCUGAAGUUGAGGUGAUUGCACGACAUGCAGUUCCAGUCUCCUGGCUUCCUAUUCAUCUUCUCGGCCGAGCCCUGCAUGUACAUAUAGUCGCAUAUAACCAAGCUAAGCCACCAGAUAGUCGCAUAUCUGAAAAACUGACUUAUCAACUGCACUUUUUAAUAUACGGAGAAAGAGAGAGAGAGAGAGAAGUGUAUACUUUAAGAUGAGGAAGAGGAGUGAGGGGAGAGAUUGUUUGGGGGAGCUAAUUAAGUUGUGGGUUUGUAUGAUUGAGAAGGUUGAGGAGGGGGGGCUUUUAUAGUGGUGCCUCAAUAAUAGAGAAUCAAGAAUGGGAUGUGGAGGGCCGGGGCUGUUCUCCCUUUUUCUUUUUCUUUUUUUUUCUUUUUUUAGUCCCCCUUUUGUAACUGUCACACCUUGAGCAUUAGUGGAAUCUCAUAAAAAACUUUUCUUUAAAAAAAAAGGAAAAAAAAAAAGAGAAAGGGCAUUGAGGGGGGAUGCUAAAGAUGGCUAAAUAAUUAUGGGGAAUUUGAAUAUAUUUGGCUUCCAUAGUACAUCUUUUUCUAGAGAUGGAUGGGAGAGAAAAUAUAUUUGUUUCUAUUUUCAGUUCUCGAUCGCAUCUAAGUUCGAACUUAAAUUGGAAGCUCCGCAUCCUCACUUAUAGAUAUGUAUGAUUUUCAACCUAUAUAUAUAUAUAUAUAUAUAUAUAUAGAGAGAGAGAGAGAGAGAGAGAGAGAGAGAGAGAGGACUACUAUACUCUUAUAACUAUAGAACCCUUCAUAGUACUCGUAAGUCGUUUUUGAUGACAGAGUUUCCGAAUCGACGAUCUAUACCGUUAAAUAUAAUUUAAAAUAUUUAAAACUUCUUAAAAAUAAAUUUUGUUAUUUUUUUAAAUCAUAAUAAAAUCUAUCAAGCAGGUAUAAAAUAAACGGUCAAAAUCGAACGACAUUCUAAAAAUAGAUGAUUGGAUCCUUCAAUUUAAGAUCGGAGUUAUUGAUCUUUUAUAUCUAGAUAGUGAAUACAUUUUUUUUUAUCAAAAAUUUAAUUUAUUCCGAUUCUUUUACACCGUUAAACUAGCAAGUAUUUCAUACCGGCCGUUAAAAAUUGUAAAUUUUGUGACAUUUUGAUUAUAACGUAAAUGAUGUCGAAAACGUAAAUAAUGUCGAAAAAUUAUAAAAUUUGAUUUCUAGAAAUUUUAAAUGCUCUAGAUAAUAUUUAACGGUAUAGAUUGUCGAUUCAGAAGCUCUAUCAUAAAAAAUGACUUACGAGUACGAAAGCGAUCGUACUUAUUAGAAUAUAUAGUAGUCGGAUUCUCUCUCUCUCUCUCUCUCUCUAUAUAUAUAUAUAUAUAUCUUUAUCUUUGUUGAAGACAUUAAAAUCUCAUUAUGUCAUAUUAUUGCUAAGCCUAGCUAAUUCUAAAUUAUUUUCAUAAAAUUAAUUUUUUAAAUAACAUGGUACAUAUCAAAAGCAACGCCACUAGGUGGAUUGUUAAUUAAGAUUUAUUCUGAGUUAUUUUCUAGGAGAUCAAUCUUUUCAAUAUAUAAUAUAGUUCUACGUAAAAUCUGAGUUUGAGAGGGCUACAGAAUAUUGUCAACAAUUGUUAAUUAUCUCGGGAUUCAUAUAUUUGUGUGCUUAGUUGGUGUUGAGUAGGGAUGCAAAUGGAUCCGGGUUGGUGGAGCUCUGUCCCGAAUGGCGUGGUAAGUGGGAGCAAAAAAUAUAAAAAAAAUAUAACCCGCCCCGAAUCCGCCCCAAUCCGCCAAGUAAAUGGAGCGGGAGGUGGGAGACUCUUUUCUUCCUUCAAUCCGCCCCGAUCCGUCAAAAAUCCGGCUCCCGCCCCGAUCCGCCCCGAAUGGAGCGGUAAGUGGGAGCCAAAAAUAAAAUGAAAAGUAACCCGCCUCAAAUCCGUCCCGCCGCGAUAAGAAAUGGAGCAGAGGUGGGGAAACUCUCCCGCCCCCAGAUCCGCCCCGUUUGCAUCCCUAGUGUUGAGUUCUUUAAGUAGCUAAACAUGUAUGUGUGUGACAAUUAAGUACUCUCAUGAGUUAUGACUAAUAUUAUAUAUAUCCUAGCCUAAAUGGAUAUCACCAAUUAGGACCACCACCUCUUUUUACCUCAAUUGAUCAUCUCAUUUACACUAUGCGCCUUAUAUACCUAAAUGAGUACUGUACCUGUACAUGAAAUUUGUCGUACUUACGUGGAAAGCCUCUCAACAGUGAGACAGUUUAAUCGGUCGUCCAUCACAUGCACUGCUCAAAUCUUUACGUAAUAAUAAUAUGGAUUAUAAAUUAUAUGCGUUUGCGAAUAUAUCUACCUCCAAUCGGCAAGUAAAAAUGUGACAUGAUCUAAGUUAAAAAGAUGCUGGUUAAUGCUUGGACAUUAAUGGUGUAUUAUUGGUGUAAACAAUGCAAUCGCGCAAUUAAAAAGAAUCAAUUCCCAAUUAUAUAGGGGGAGGGGGGGGGGCAUAAAAAGCCUAUUCUGAUCUCUUAUUCGUUAUCUAACUUGUCCUUCUCUUUAGCAAUAAUUCAUAAAGGUCAUAGAUUCACAGCUACAAUUAAUUAAUUCGUACGUUCCCUUAGCAUCUCCCACAAAGUCUCACGGCUUUUUCAAUUUUCACUAAAAUUCUUGCUAAUUAAUUAAAGUUGUAAAAAUAUUUAAUUUGCCAGCUUAAUUAAUAUUUAUACGACCGUUAAAUUACCUGCAGCAUUAUCAUACCACAAAUACACCGUUUCAUAAUUAAAAUUCUUCGAUGUAUGUAAGUAUGUUAAUAAAGUGUUAUAAAAUAUAUAUGUUGAGUGUACAAUAUUAUUUCCUUUUUUGGUCAUAUAUAUUUAUAUAAAUUAGUGGACAUUUUCAUUGUGUUAUUCAACUUCUAAUUCAAGUAUGAAUUAACAAACAACUUACUUUAUACAUAUAUAUUUUCGAUCACACUUAAUUUCUACAUGCAUUCCUAUUAUAGAGAAUUCGAACCUCUGACUUAUCUUUUGUGGCAGGCACAGAAUAAGUUUUUGGAGCAUAAUGGAGUCCGCGUGUACGUGACACGGGAAUGGUUCUUUAAUUUUGACCUAGGAUUUCUUAGAUAAGAAGGAAUUAACAAGUAGAAUAUCACAGACCAAGUAAAUAUUCGUCACGCUACUUAAGAUUUUUUUUUUUUUUUCAUAUAUAGUUUUGUAUAAGAUCGAUCUUUUCAACAACAUAAUUAUUAAGUCAUGCACUAUGAAGCUCCAGGUUUCGACCUAAAUUAGCUAGCGAUCUAAUUUAGAACGAGAUCAGGUGCAUCUCGAAAAAGAUGUGGAUGCUUUAAUUAUAUAUAUGUUAACAUAAAUCACACGAAUAUUGUGUUGAUGGAGAAGAAACUAAAAGAGAUAAUAAAGGAAUAUAAACAAAUUGAUAAAUGAAUGAAUAAUAAAGAAGAGAAGAUCGAGAAUAAAACCUGCAGGUGUAUCGUUUCAUUUUGGAGAAUGCAGAGGGAUACAAAAUUGAUAAUGAUUUUAUUUGGAAAUCUAAUUAUCCAAUAAAAUGGGUUUGGUGAGAUGAUGACAUUCUAAAAUCUUAUCUAUAAUAAUUCCAAAAGAUCAUUUUCACAUUAACUUGAAAAAAAAACCCUAAUUAUUGCCAACACUUGCGUGCAUCGGAACAUCUUGUGCACCACACUACUCUAUCAGCCGUCCUUCCCAUCAGAUAGGUACUUGCGAUCCAACCGUGCAACUUUUUAACAGAUAAUAUAGUGCAAAUAUUGAAUAUAUGAUAAGGAUCGAUACAUGUAAUGGGAUGGAGAGCAGAUGAACCGUGAUGAUGCAUCAGGUGCAGUUUCUACUACUAGCGGGCCAUGGUUGAUUGCCCAAUUGGGUAUAUGUGUAUCAACGUGCGAGCAUCCGUACAAAUUAUACAUCACAUCUUCUUAUCUGUGGAUCAUAUGUCGUGUAUGCUUUGAUCGACAUCAUGAAUUAAGCCAUUAAUUGCAAACUUGUAACUUCGAUCUUGAGGUAGAAACAAGCUAUACUAAAUAGAUGAUAGAAAUUAUACGAAGUGUGAUAUGUAUUGAGUGAGUGAGAGGAUCGUGUGAGCAUUUGGUAAUCAAUAUAUAAUUCAUGAGUCCAACAACUAGAUUUUUAAAUAUUAUUCUUAUAUAUUGUUGAUUUGUUGGCGCGCAUGAAUAUCCUGCAUUGGAUGAUAUGUAAGAAAUUAUAAGAUGGAAUAAAAGGUUGGCGAAUGAAUGUGCGGUGGUGGGUAGUGGCUGCACUUGGCGCGGCAUGAUUUUUACCAAAUAGUAGAGUCGGCACCGGCUUUAACUUCAUUGACGAGAAUACGAAAAAAAAUAGGCCAAAAGAUGGUGUUUUGCGCAGAAUACAGCUUACUGAUCCAAUACGGCAUAAUAUAUUGUUCCAACGCCGACUUUGACUGUAAGAGGAUCUUAACAAGCAAAUGCGGUGUUUCAUUGCCGACUUCAAGCAAUAUAACCAAAACGCAAAAAAUGAAAAGAAGAAAUUCUAAGAAGCAGUUUUUAGAUAAAUUGAAGUCAUUUUUGUAAAACAAUAGUUGUACUCUAAAGCUUGAAUGAUUUUAUUCUUUUUGUAAACAGUAUGAUUUAGACCUGAUCAUACAAGGCCACCAAAAGCUUGGAUGAUUUUAUUCUUUUCAUGGUCCAUAAUAGUGUGUAUAUGUCUUUGGCCAUGAUACUCUUUGUUAGCAAAAGAAAGUAAUCAAUAAAGAAAAAGGUUAAGUUAAUAUAUCUAUCAUUGGACUUGUAAUCCUAAUGCAUCUCCUGCUUUGAUUCCACCUAUAUUUGCAUGACAUAUAUAUAUUUUAACCUAAAAUAUACUGUAAAACAAAUGCUUGAAUAUGUGAACCAAUAGGAUAUGUUGAAGGGGAAAUUAAAAUUAAUUAAACCCAUGCCAAUACCAAGAAGGAGACAUGUUUGUGUGCCCCUCUGAAAUUUCCAGCUCAUGUAAUGAUCAUCUUGGUUGAUGGAUUCAUGUAGUCUCAUGAUGCCACAAUGUUUAGCAACUUGGGCUUCUUUCAUCAUCAUUCAUGGGCACUUAUUAAUGAAUUAUUCAUGAAAUUCGAGCAACCAAGUGAAGCCCAUGAUCAAGAACAAGUGAAUGCAACUUUCAAAAAAUUAAAUAAAAAAAAUAAUUAAAAAAAUAGAAAGUAAAAUGAGGUGCAAUAGAGUUUCAUCAUUUCAACUGAUUUGCACUCAUAUCUUAUGGAUUCUUCACAUGAUUCACAAAUGUUACAUCCAAAUAGUUUGCCGCAGCCCAUGAUAGGUCAUUAGCAUUUGAGCCCCAAAUCAAGUUUGGUACAUCACAUGGACAAAUCAUCUUGUCUUCAAUUAGAAUAUCUUUCUAUCUCAAGAUCAUUUCAGAAUUAAUUCUUAUCAGAUCAAUCUUUUUGAGCAACAUGAUAUUACAGACGGUCGUAACUCCUAAGCCGCUGAAUUUUGACUCUCUCUCUCUCUCUUUCUCAAGACUAUUUUUGAAUUAUUUUCCAUCACAUCAAGCCUUUUAAGUAAUAUGGUAUUACAGACAAUCGUCCUAAGCCUCCUCUGAUAUCCUAUUGUUAAAGACGGGCGUGAACACUGAUUUUAAGAGGUUUUUGAUUACAAUGACCUAGCAAACAAGCAUUGUUUUAGCGCGUGUAUGGUUCCAAAACUUCAAGGAUACGAACGGGUCCUAUAUAUCUAAACCCAAAUACAUGGCCCGCGCACUUAGACAUGAACAUAAUUGAGAUAGGAAUGAGAUGACAUGUAGCAAUGUUCAACAGUAGCUGAAAAAAGGACCUGGAAUAAAUAAUGGAACCAUGCACCAUUGCCCUUAUCAGGGGGACACUAUUCAUCCGGCAAAUCCAAUGGUCGAUAAUAAAUGCCCUAUUAAUUCCACAUUAAAUUACGUAUGCGUAAGAUGUGUCAAGCUCCUUUUUGUUCUGUUUCUAUAUAACCUAACUUUUGGCUAAUUAUAAGUUGUAGGUGGUGUGACUAGCUAGGGCCGUUACAUCUUGCUAUAAUAUUUCUUUCAAUCAAUGCCAUAUAUAUAAUUAAUAUUUAUUUUAAAGGAAUAAAAUAAUAAUUAUCGUAACUUAGAGAACUAAUAACAUGCAAUUUGUCACGUCGAUUUAAGUAAAAUAUUUAUAUAUUUUAGUAGAGAAAUUAACAAUUUGAAAAAAGAUCUAAAACUUCUACAGUAAAGUAAGAACAACUUUUCAGAAAGUUUAAAACCACUACUGUAGAAGAAAACGACCGAAAUUAUUCUAAUAUAGUUUCUCGCAAUAAUUAAUAUUACUUUGACGGCACUUCAUGGAACCACACUGCAUCCUACAUCAACAAUAUUGAUCCAAGUCCAUUAGCUGCAGGUAAUUCGCUUAACUCGACAUUUGGGGUGGCAGUAAAGUUGGUGAGGAGAGAUGAUGGGACCGACUGCGCGUGCCUCUGCAAUGCCAUUGAGAGCUCCCACUAGCUACAGUAACAACAAAGUAGAGAGAGUUUCGUCUCGUUUAUUAUUUUAAAAAAUAAAUUUAUCGAAAAUAUAAAAUAAUUAGAUUUCAAACUUAUGACUUCGAGUAUCAACCAUCAAUUUUUUUAUUAUUUUCAUUAGGAACAACGUCGUUAUAAGUUAUAACUUAGUACUUUUGUCUCUUUAUUUUACCCAUUAAAUUUUAAGUAUAUGUUCAAUAUUAAAUACUAAAAAUAUUGUUUUUUACCAGUUUAAAUUUUUAGAGUAGACGAUUACUUAACGGUGUCUGUUAAUUUGCAAGAUGAAAAGAUCAUUUCAUAUUAAAAGUUUUUUGGUUUUUUUUUAAAAAAAAACAGUGAGAAAUUAUUUGUCAUUGGUUGGGUUUGCUCUUUCUCGACCACAUCAUAUCCUUUUGAAUCAACAAACUAAUUAUGAUGCCAUCUCUGUGAACACAUUAUUGCUAUUACUACCAACAAAUUUGUUGCUAUUGUUUUUGACCAACAACUACACAAUAUAUAAAUAUAAAUAUGUUGAGAACUUAAUUAAUAGCAAAAGAGAAUUGUUGUCCACAGGGGAUGGAUUGUAGUAGCUAGUUCGCAUGUGAUGCAUAUAUAGGUGAAGUAAAAGAUGCAUUUUGGAGCUUUAAUUUGUUCAUAUAUUGUUAUCCUUUCCCAUCAGGUAAAUGAGCCUUAUAUAUCUUUUUUUCAUUUAAUCUUAUAUAUGCAUAGAAUAUAAAAUUUUUUCUACAAAAUAUAACUUCUCUUCUCUGUAUAUAGUUUCCCUUCAAGCUAUUUGAUCUAAUUUAUUUGCAUCCAUUUACACUUUGAACUUUAUAUUUUUUACACUACUUGAUAUGUAUCUAGUAAAAAAAAAAUCUCUUUUUUUUAAAAAAAAAAUCUGUGGGUCCUUUUUAUCCGACAACAUGCUUUAGACCUACCUCAUGCAUGAAUAAAUUAAAAUUUGUCUUCUUUCAAGGAUAUUUCUUUAGACUAUCAACACAAUGUUGUGAUUUAGACUUACAGAUUUGAGAUACGACCUUUUUUGCAGUCAAAAUCUGAUAAAGGAAAAAACCUUAGACUGUACGAAAAAAAAAAAAGAAAAGAAGAAGAAGAGUUAAAAAACAUGUUAUCAAACUAACAUAAAGUUAAUAGUGAAGCGACAGACACAUAUAUAUUUGAAAAUGCAACUUAUACUGCCCAUGUAGAGCAGUAUAUCUCACACAUUUUGAAUCCAAAAAAUGAUAAAAUUCUAUUAAACUUUUAGUUAAAAAUAAUAAUAAUAAUAAUAUAAUGAGAUGAGUCAGUAAAUAUAGAUCACAAAAAGUACCUACAUCAUAAAUAUACAGAUAUAUAGCAUGUAUUGAAUCAAAUCACGAUGAAUUGAUUAAGAAUGACCAAAUUUAUAGUAUAUGAUUUGUACGUAGUAAAUAUAGAUACAAAAAUGCGCAAAGAUAAUGUAACAAAGUUAAUUUUGGUCCUUAAUUCCUUUUCCUUCCCAUUAGUGGAUUAGUGAACAGCAAUCAACCAAUCCUAUACAUGCAGAUUACAUUACAUGACUCUUUGAUGAACCACUCGCAAUCAAGUUUUGCGCUUUUGCAAAAAAAUAAAAAUAAAAAUAAAAAUAAAAAUAAAAAUAAAAAUCCACCAUUUCAUAAAUUUUGUAAUUCCGAUCCACUUUUUCGUAGUCGCCAUUGCUACUUCGAGCAUAAAUCUUUUUUUAUCGACGAAGAAGCAGAAGAAAAAAUUUAAGUGGAUCGAAGCUACAAAAUAGGAAAAAAAAGAGAAAAAAACAAGCGAAUUUGUUCUUUCUUGUCAAAAAUGCCCAACAAUUGAUUAAUUAAGCUUCUCAGAUAUGUACAAAACAAGCUAGCUAGUUAGUUAAUUAAUUAAGCACUUGUUUUAGAAGUAAUCAAUGUAUUGAGGGAUGUGGUAGGGCUCAUCCCUCUCUUUCUUGGUGAGCUUUUGAACUGGAACUGGGGCUUUGCAGUUGCUUCUCCCUGAUCUCCUGAUGAUCAUAUUAUCUGAUCUGGGCACCUCAGGGGGCUUCACUGACCUGAUGAGAGCCCAGUUCACACCCUUAAAGAAACCAUGCCUCUUGAUCUCCACUGACCCCUUCAGGCUCCCAAUCCUCCUCUUUGGGUUCUUCACCAAGAGCCUGCUUAUCAGAUCCUGGGCCCUUGAUUCAUCUUCCAAAUCCUUCGCGUUCGUCGUGUUUAUCUUCGGAAAGCGGAGUGGUUGCUUCAUUAUGUUGAUCAGCGUCUUCUCGUUGUUCUCACCUGUCGAAUAUAAAAUAUUAAAACACUGUUGUCUCUUUUCUUUUCUUUUCUUUUUUAACCUUCAUUAUGUGAUCGUGUUUGUUUUUGUUUUUGAGCUAACAAAACAUUGAUAAAUGUUAAAAUCUUUAAUUAAUUAAACUCCAUGAUAGAAAUAUCAGAACAUUAUUUGUACGUGUUUUAAGUUUUUAGAGAAAAACGGUUACUACCUUUGAAGGGUGUCCUCCCGUAUAUCAUCUCGUAGAGGAAGACGCCGAGCGUCCACCAGUCGACGGCGCUGCCGUGGCCGGAGAUCACCUCCGGCGCCAGGUAUUCGUGGGUGCCGACGAACGACUUGGACCGCGCCGCCACGGGCUCCGCCACGAGCUCCGUCUCCACCACCCCAUCGUCGUCGUCGUCGUCGUCGUCGUCACCGCCACUGCCGUAUGCGUCCCCCGCCCUCGGCGGCGGCGUCCGAAGCGCUUUUUGGGCGCUGCACUUGGAAACGCCGCUGUAGAAGCAGGAGAGCACGGGCUGCAUGGGGGAGCUAACGCAGGAUGGCGCUGCUGCAGUAGUUGUUGUAGCAGUAGUAGCAGUAGUAGUAGUAGUAGUAGAAGCGCUUCUGGGGUCGACGUUCCUUUGCUUGAGGAGCUUUGGGGUGACGUGGCACUUGAGGGAGAGGUCGAAGUCGGAGAGCAUGAUGUGACCGUCGGAUCGGAUCAGGACGUUCUCCGGCUUUAGAUCUCGGUAGACCACGCCCAUCAUGUGCAGGUACUCCAACGCCAACAGCGUCUCCGCCACGUAGAAUCUGCGCUCGGUUAAUUUAUCACCUUCAUGGCGUAGAGACACGCGGCGGCGGCGCAGGGGCGGAGCUGGCACAGGUAGACGCUGCCGAGGUCGCCGGUGCCGAGGCGGCGGAGGAGGCGGAAGUGGUCGAGGCUGAGGGCGCCCGCGGCAGCGCGCGCGCGGCGGAUGGACUCCCACUCGGCCUGGCUCGCCUUGUGCGGCUUGUGCGGCGUGGCGUAGGAGGAGACGGAGGAGGCGGAGGAGGAGAGGGAGAGGUCGGUCGUCGUCGUCGUCGUGGUUGUGCUGUCGACGUAGCUGCGCCGGGAGCUCGAGCCCACUGCAGUGAAGGCGGAGGAGCGGCGGCUGCUGCUGCUCAAGCAGUCGGAGUCGGCGUCGCGGCCUCCGGCGGCCCGCCAUAAAUAAAUAUAGUAGAAAGAGCAGUAGUAGUAGUAGCAGUAGCAGCAGGAGUGAGGGAGUGGAGGUGGGGGCUUUAGUGUGCUUGGUGGGUGCUCUUAAAUAAGAAUAGCCCAGUUCAGAGUAGUGUUACUGUACAGUAUAACAAUACUAUAUACUUAUACUGUUUGAUAAACUAAAUUUUAAGUAAUUGUAUUAGUAAAUGAUUUUAGAAGUGUCGAACUCGAAUAGAAUUUUAUCAGAACUAUAUUCCUGCCGCGAUCAUCAAAUCAUAUGAUGGACGGUAUAUUUGACUAUCUCAGCACUACCGGCAUGAUCUUUAUAAAAAUUUUAUUCAGCAUGUGAGAGUUUUUAUUUUUGAAGCUGCCAAAUAUUUUACUUGACGUAAAAAAAAUAUAAAAAAAAUAUAGGCCUUUAAAACUAUAUAUGAGCUUGUGUGCUCAAUUAUUUAUUUUUUUUGAGAGAAAGGUAGAGCGCUACCUGCUUCAUUCAGAAAAUAAGUAAAUUAAGCUACAUGGGUGAGGCAAUAAGGCCUCGACGAGGGGUGAAAAAAAAAAAAAGGUUCGAUCAUUGAUCAAUCACUCCGCUAGACUAAGUUCCUCUAUAGGUCCGUCAAAUGCUUAAUCUUAUAAAUACCGGCUGUUGGGUCGGUUUGUGCCGUCCUGAAAAUCGCUCUGUUAAUAUACCGGUUGUUGUGGGCUCAAUUGUUUUUUUUGCGAGAAAGUAGCAUGCUACCGCUUCAUUCAUAAAAAAGGUGAAUUUAGCAAUUGUGGGAAGCAACUAGACUUCCACUGAACUGAACCGGAAAAAAAACAAAAGAAAAAAUUAAUUACAGAAGGAUUCCCACAUGCUGUAUUGAGCGCGUACUUCCGCCAGCACCUGCUUCGUCGACCGCUUUCUGUUGUCGAAGAUUCGCCUAUUCCAUUCUAGCCAAAGAGCUCACCAAGUAGCGACCAAGAUUGCUGACUCCUUUCUCCAUAUAGCUCCUGCUUAAAGCUGCAUUCCCUCCAUAAAUCGUCAACUGACCGACAAGCCCCUAGGCCCCGUUUGUUUGGCAGUAGGCAGGUUAGUAGCGCUUGUGAAAUAUAACAGUUUGAGAAAAAAUGGUCCACAGUCUCUUAUUCAUCCAGGCAGAGAACACAAGUGUCCACACCCGACCAGCCCCUUUUCAAAAGAUUGUCCUUCGUUAGUACCUUCCGUCUCACCACGAGCCAGCCGAAAAUUUUAACUUUUAGUGGUAUUUUUGUUCUCCAAAUGGGUGUCAAUUGUUAAUAUAGGUAUUUUUGUUGGUAUUUUUGUUCUCCAAAUAGGUUUGUUAUGGUAAAGGAAUUUUAACUACGAAAUGAUAAUGCAUGCGUACGUUGCUUAUUAACUUUUUGUUUUUUUUUUCCUUUUUUUUAUUAAAAAAAAUGACAGGUAGAAGGUCAUGUUUUUCACCUUUAGCUUCACAAUCUACUUUUUCCAUUGUGAGAUCAUCAUUAUUACGUGAGGGCUUUUGAACAUCCAAUAAAGAGAGAAUGAACAAAAUCACAUAACCCCCAACUAAAGCCCCCUCUCUCAUGUUCAAAGAGUUUUCUUCUUUUUUUUUUUUUGAUUCAACAUUUUUCGAAUGUUUAAUUAUCUAAAAGAAAUAAUUAACAAAGCUAAGUCAAAAUUAGCAUCCACUCAUGAACAACAUCUAAAUUUUGGCAUUGAACAUUGUGUUCGAUAUACAUCUAACUUAUGAAACAUUCACAGCAUGCUGAAAAUUUCUAUGACGCAUAAAUUAUCCGUCACAAACGCGAUUGGAAAACACAAAUCUGUUUAACCCAAGUUAAAUCAUACGAAGACGGGGGUAAUUUGAUUAUCGAACACGCAUACGAAUACGACCCACCAACCCAAAUCGCCACCCCUAAUUGCAAGUGUGGAUAACAAUAUUGUAGGUAGGUAAACUAAACUAACUAGAUAUAUAUAGAGGUGCUAAACUUAAUUAGUUGGUCACAUGAGUUAACAAAAGACAACAUGUUGGUGUGUGACAGUGUUAAAGGCCUUAUAAGGAGGGGGUGGGGGAGGAGAGAGAUGCAUGAGCAUGCACUACCCGUGCCACAUUAAUUAAAAGCAAAAUCCCCACCUCACCCCCACACACCAAAUGAGAUGCUUCUCUUUUUCUCUUUUCCCUCUCUCCUCCCCUCUCAUUUUCUUUGAGGUGCUUUUUACUGGGUCACAGUGGGGGACAUGUGAACCCACCUAUCUGCCACGUGGCAUCACCUCUCUUACUGGUGCUCGAAAAAGAUUUUGAAUUACGUUAGAAUAAAAAAUGGAACGACGAGUUAUUCACAAAUACUUGAAUUUAUUAUUAUGAAAUAAAAUGAAAAUCGAAAUGAAUAUUUAGAAUUUUAAUAGGGAGUUUUAGUUUUAGUUUUUUUUUUGAGAGAGAUAGAUAACACGCUACCUUCUUCGUUUAUUUCAUUUAGAAAUAAACUUAUAUUAGCUGGAAAAUAUGAAUCAAUUAGGGUCUCGAAUACCAACCAUCGAAUCAUUUGCCGGCCACUUGCUCUGAGAAUGGUUGGUAAUAAAGAGUUUUAGUUAAAAAAAAAGGAGAGUGAUGAAGGAAGAUGAGGAAAAAGUAUUUGUAACAGAGGGUUUUGAGGGGUUUAACUAGAAACAGGCUAAUCCGGGAGUCAAAAUCGGAUUGAGCCAUAAAUGUAUUAGAUCAUUCCCAUUUCAAAAUGAAAUGAGAAUGAAAAUUCGAUUUUGUAAAACGAAUAAUAAUUAUUGGAAUCAAUAAAAUUCUAUUCUAAUUUUAUGGUCUAAAAUUGAUGAACCAAAUAUGUCUUAAAUUUGUUCUUACUUUUAGCUACAAUCAUAAAUUUUUUUCUGAAAAAAAAACGUUCAAAUUAACUUACAAAACAUAGGUUCUCUAAUAUAAAACUAAAGCUUACAUAAUAAAGAAAAGUGUGAAAUUUUAACAUAAAAAUUGUUAGCAUGUUUUUCUAAUAAGACAUUUCGUGAACUCAGGAGAAAAUUGAGGGUUUGGAUGUAAUUGUAUUACAAAAGCAUCACUGACCCAUGUAGCACUUAAUAUGUAUAGUUUUAAAUUAACGGUCAAACAUUUGUACACAAGCAAAUAUUACGCUUCUACUUCUGAUAAAAAGGUCAAUUAAGUUGCUAAGCAAUAAAGCAAUAAAGCAAAAGCAACAAAUUAUUGAGAGAACUUUAGCGUCAAUAUGGGAUCUAACCAGAGUCGUAAUCUGUUAGUGGAUGAUAUGGCGGAAAAAAAUAUUAUUAUUUUAGGAGCCAAUCAUUUGACCUUUUUUUAACUAUUAGACGAAUACGGAACAUGAGUAGAGAAUGAACUUAGUUUUGCAGCUUUUAAUGCCUUGGUUUUGAGUAAGAAGUACAAGUAUCAAUUUUCUGUAAUUUUUUAUUUUAGUUUUUAUUUGUUUUUUUUGUUUUGGAUGCCUUCAAUAUUUUCCGAGACUGCAUUGCCUCAACCUCUAUAACUGAAUUCAUCCGCUAAAAUGAAUAAAACUAGUAGCGUGCUAUCUUUCUCUCUCUCAAAAAGAAAAAAAAACUUUAGCAUCAACAUAUACUACCAGCGCUUUGUCAAAUAGUUCAUUUUGCUUACGGCAACACUUUUGUAGAAGCUCCAGCCGACUCAAACAGACGGUCACGGUUCCAGAGAUGGGCCAUGAAAUAAAGCUAGUCAUACUCCCUUUCAACUACAGAAACCAUUGGUAAACAAUGUAAUGAUCUCUGCAUCUUCCUUUUCUCAUACUUUUAUGUUGGUGGAUGCUGUGAAACUCAGAAUCUGUAAUAAGGGAUCGUACAUGAUACAUGGCUCUUAAUUAAUUUCCUCUGGACCCCCUCUUCUUCUUCAGGUAUUAUUUUUUAGUCCCUGCUCUCUCUCUCUCUCUCUCUCUCUCUAGCAUCUGAGGGAUCUUAUCAUCAGCCUUUUGGGUUACAAAACAAGCAGGGCUGCAGGGCUGCAGGGCUGCAGUGGGUGAGAGAAGCAAAGCAUGUUGGGAAACCCAAACACCCAUGCCUUCAUGCAGGCUCUGCUCCCACAACAACAACCAUAAAAAGACAAAAAAAGUUUUUUGUAAUUUAGCUCUUUUUUUUGUGAGUUUUGUGGGUUUUUUAAGGAAAAAAAAAAAAAAAAAAAAAAAAAGGAAAAUGUAAAAUGAAAAUUUUCCUGUGACCACAAUAAGAAUAUAGUUGGUUUUAAUUUGUCUGUGAUAUGAAUUAUUUGUGUUGUUACUGGGUAGGCAUGCAAAAUCACCCUUUCAGUUUUACCACAAUUAAUAUGCAAUUUUAGUUUCUGUGAAAAUUUGCACUGAAGAAGUGAUACGCGUACUUAAGUUUUUGUAGAAAAAUAGCUGUUUUAUAUGAUUUCAGAUCCUACGGUGGCUACGUGCAUAGAAAGUACUAAGUAUAGAAAAUUAUACUGUAAUUCUCUAAUAACUUAAACUUUUGAAACCAUUUGGCUCUUUCAAAGAUGAGUGGAAAGAUGAAAUGAGUGUGGAUGUUUAAGUAAAAGCAACUCAAAAAUCCUAACUUUCUCACUAUCCUUGCCUUUACGGCGUUUAGCUGUAACUACAUAUAAAACUUUCAAAUUAGAACUUCUGUUUUUCAUAAAUAAUACACGGAUAUUCUAGUUUAACUUGCGUCUUUUUAUUUGCUAAACAUCUGUUACCGUUGCUUCUCGAGUAGAAAAGCUAAUCCGAAAAUCCGACAAAUAAAACAAGCAUGGAUUAAAAUAAUUGUCAAUUUUAAUGUCAUAACAGUAGCCCCACAUGUCGACAGUUCUACAAUCUUUGGAAGGACCACGAAAUAGGCCAAGAAUAAUAGAAGAAUGUUCACUGCAACAUAAUUUUGUAUAUAGAUACACACACACACCACACACACACACACACACACACACACUCAAUCCAAUAAAUAUUUUUUAAAAGAAUCCAGUACAAAAAGUUCUUGUGGUUGGCUGAAAAAGUUCAAUUCAUACAAUCAUGUCAACAUUCAGAUAAAACAAGAUAAUAAAGGAGAAUGGCUUAUUUGUACCAAUGUUUUAUUGAAUAAAAAUAAAGUAAAAUAAAAAUAUCUCAUUUUAAAAUCCUAUGGUUAUGGAGCAUGAAUAACUCUCUUAGAUGAAUGGAAAUGUAGUAAAAUUACUGACAGAUUCAGUGUGCAAAGAGAGCAGUUAUAAAACACAUAUAUGUGGGCUUAAUAUAGUACAUUUGUCACUUCACGAGAUAAAUUAUUAAGCCACAACUCAUUUAUUAAGAUACAAAACCACUUACCGCAAAGCUCCGACGCAUAAUUCUUCAAAGGAAACACGGAUUAUAUAUGAAUACAACAAACCCGAGACACUGAGCUGCUAAAUUUUCAGAAAUGAGAGUAUCGAUCGAAAAGGCGACAGCACCAGAAGAACCGAUCCAACUAUUGUAUACCCACACCAACAUCUACUAUUUAACCACAUAUUAAGCAAUUCAUUGCACCUAGCUAGGGUGAUUAUUCGAUCGCCAUUUCAUGGUGAAGCCCAAAAUUUUUAGUCGAUUGCUGAUCACGAGUUGGAUCCGUCAGUUCCCAGCAUUGCAGUAAGCCAUUUGCAGAGUUGCUCCAACUCCUGAGGGAUUGUGUGGUGUCCGAUCCUGCACGGGUUUAUUACAUAGGGGUUGAUAAUUACUUCCACGACCGGAAAAGAAACGAAGAGAAAACGUAGUUUAGCGAGGAGUUACUGUUACCAAUUAUACGAUUUGAAUGUCAGAUUUGAAAACCCAACUGAUCUCAAAAUUUCAGCAGAUCUCUCCCCAUGCUUGUAGAGCACAACAUCAUCAGCUGUAUUUAGAUAAUCAAAUAUUAUGCUAUUUGAACUUAAGAUGCUUUUCAGAAAAGUAGAGAUGUCGGUAUAAAAUCCUACUCCGGUUGCACGUCUAAUAAUAGGAGAUAUACCUCUUCCAUGGCAAAGCAAAAGCGGCACGGAGGAAGCCCGUCUCAUAGCCUCUUGAGAGCUUUCCAGCUUACUCUUCAGCAUCCUAAAACCAACGAAUUUUUCAUUACGACGCACCAAAAAUAGAGAUGUUGCAUCGAAGAGAAGAAUUUGUGCUUAGCCAUGGUAGGAUGGUACCUGGCGCAUGGAAGCCAACCGCUUAGAGCGACAACCGCACUUAGGUUAACAGGGUAUAGAUUGCCAUUUCCAUAUUUUCCGAGUGCGAAACACGUUGCAGAGUAAAGUGCAAUAGCACCGCCCAUACUGAAGCCGCCAACACCGAGUUUGACUGAAAUUUUAAUCAAAAGAAACUAUAAUUUGUUAACACGAUACCUGCAGAGAAUUUAGGGCAUUCAAAUUCCACAAAUUCAUGCAGAAAAUACCUAAUAUAUUGGAUUUCUUUUAACAAAACGGAAUGAUCAAUAUAGAGAAACUAAGUUGAUCAUGGGCCAAGAGAAGUGCUUAGCAACAUAUACAAUCAUCAGAUAAGAAAGUGAAAAAAACUCUAUUUAAAACUCGUGAUAUUUUGUGGGUCUUCGAGAAGAGAUGCAAACCUCCUAGAGAGAUCGAAUUUGGGACCAAAAGUAGUAGUAUGAACAGAUUAUGUAACUCAUAAGCCAUAAGUAAAAGUACACGAGCAAGUAGUUCUUUUUAUCUUUGUGGAAACAUACUAUCAGCAGGCUCAGUUGAUAAGAGGUUAGCAACAUGCGCAGCUGAAGCAUCCAUUCCCUCAACAUCAUUAAUGCCAUCCUCUGAAAGAUCUCCAACAUCAAACCCUAGAACACAAGGGGAAAGAAGUAGAGAAAGGGAAUUUUAAAUAUCAUUGAAACAAAGCACCGGCGUUGCAGGAUACUAUCUACAGCUUCACAUAAAGCAUUCAACUUUGGAAGUGGAUCAUCCAGCAAACUAUGAUCUAAAUGAAAGAGGUUCAUGUAAUGGUAGUGCAGCGAACUUACAUGCAUUGGUGGGGAAUCCGCCGAACACUGAUACAGGCUGUGUAGGGGAAGUUGGGCAUAUCCAUUUAAUCUGCAUAAGCAAAAUUAAGCUACAAAGGUCACACAAGAAAACAAAGGAAAAAAAAAAAAGAAGGAAAACUAGCUGAAGUUAUAGUAACAUACGUUUCUCAGAGGACCAAAAAAAAAGAAAAAAGAAAAAAAAAAAACUAGCAAAUAAUGAUCAGUAGAGUAAGCAAAUGAACAAAUCUCACUAUUAAGUUGCAAGAGUUUCAAUCUUACAUUGGGAAGAGGAAGAGUUUCCAACAGUUGAGACCAGCUGCAGAUAUAAAGCAGUGUCGACCAGGCGAAAAACAUAUCAGGUAGUAUUUUGCUAUUAACAACAUUCAAGAUUAAAGAUGAAGAAAAAGACAGCACCGAACAAUCUACAGAAAGAAAUGUAUAGCUAAAUAAUAAAUAAGACUCUGUAUCUCAUUGGAGAGUCCAAUGAAUUUUCUAUAGGUAUUUGUAUAACAUAACAGGAAAUAGUCAUCGUCAUGAAAUCUUAGCCUGACAAAGGAAAUGGUAAAGCUUAGAAUUCCUGAAAGUGAAGGAAUUAUAGUUUAUAAAAGCAGUAUUACAUUGAUUGUGUUACAAAGGAAAAUUGUCCGACGCAUAUACAACAUGGAACUUUAGAAAUCACUAUGGCUAGAGCAAGAUGAAGAAUCGAAGCCAAAUUAACUGGCAAAGACUUGAUGUACAGCAUGCUGGUAGUUCAAAUAUCCAUACCGCUAUAACAAAUCUUAGGACUUGUUUAGGCCUGCUGAACCUUCUGAAAGUUGAGAUGUUCAAAUAGUUCUAUACCGGCCUUUCAGAAAGCGCUUGGUGUUUGAGAUGUUUAAGUAGUUCAGAAAACUGGAUUGUAGAUGCAACUCCUUUUUUUUUCCAGAUUUUACGUGGCAUAAUCACGUUUCAGUUGUUACAACAUUCAACUGUACUUUUGGCGAGAAUAAUAGAAUAGAAAUCAUUGCUCACAAAUACAAGAAUAACAAUACAAAGGUAAAAAAGACCGAUCCAAUCAAAAAGAAAGCUAGAAAGUUGUAUUGGGCGUUCACUCAAACAACCCAUAUCCACUGAAAAAUAGCUAACGUGAAAAAAAAAUCAGCAUUCAAAUUGUGAAUUUUUUCAGGAAAAAAAGGGACUUACACAACUAAGUUACCCGAAACAUGAAAAUUUAUGUCUCAUCAAAGUACAGAGCAUAGGAUUCAUAUCGAUCCACAGGACAACUUCAUUACAAAAGUAUGUGGCUCUAACAAGAAGCAAAAUAAAUGAUUCAGCAUCUAUCAAGCCCUCAAAAAGGCAUAAAAGUCACUGUCAUCAUCCAAUCAGGAGAGAGAGAAAGAGAGAUACCUUGCUCCAUUAUCACCUAGUCCAUGAAGCCACACUAUUGUGGCUAGAUGCCUCCCUUUUGGCCUCACUACAUGGGUCCUCCCAUAUUCAAAAGACCUUGUAGAACCCCUACCACCUAUAAUUAUUCAUGUAAGCAAAAACACUAGAUCACUAAAAAAAAAAAAACAUAUCAAAGAGGACUACUACAAAUAAAAUGGCAAAAAUAAACAAAUAAAAUGGCAAAAAUAAACGGAACAAAGAAACAAUAAUCAAACCAGAAGCAACUGAGCUGCUCCCAUAGUUCAUCUCAACUUCACCAAAAAGCAACCCUUGCAAUGACUAGGACCAGGUUUCGCUGCAAUAAAGAAGCGCCCAUUUGACCUCUCUACUUAUACCGAUAUACAGAGUAUAGAAUAAGAAUAAGAAUAAGAACCCAUUAAACAUAGCAAGACUAACAAAACCCAGAAAGGAAAAGAGAUAGAGACAGAGAAAAAAAAUGAAGCUUUUGUAUUUGAGGUAACAGAAUCUAUGAGAAGGUCAUAGACCAACAUGCAUCACCAAAUGAGCCUAUACAAACACAAAUAAGGAAAGGAAAAGAAAUGAAAAGGAAAAUAAAGGGAUUGGGUUUGCUUGUUACAGGAAUCAAUGCUUCAACAUUAACUUUUUUUUUGUUUUUUUGCUUGGUUUUUAAGAACCCAAAACAAGGUUUGAACUUUGAAGCAGAAAUGGUAAAAGGAAGGUAUAAUCAACAACAAGUUGCGAACUUUAUGCAAGUAAUCAUUAAACAGGAAUAAAAUGCUUCCACAUCAACUUAUUUGAAUGGCUUCUUAUAACCCAAAACAAGGAUUAAACUUUGCAGCAGAAAUAAUAGCAACAUAUACAAUAAACUGGUAAAAAGAAGGUAUAAUCAACAACAAGUUGCAAGCUUUAUGCAAUUAAUCAUUAAACAGGAGUAAAAUGCUUCUACAUCAACUUAUUUGGAUGGCUUUUUAGAACCCAGAACAAGGUUUGAACUUUGAAGCAGUAACAGUAUAGCAGCACAAAACAUAAAUAGGUAAAAAGAAGGAAUAAUUAACAUCAAGGUGCAAACUUUGUGCAAUAAAUAAUUAAAAAGGAGGGGGAUUUGAAGUGGGUUUUGAGGGUACGAACCUACGAUUGACAGAAAAAGUAAAUGCUCUUUUCUCUCCCCCUGAAUAAGUGUAUUGGUCGGUGCUUGAGAAGUGCGAAUUGUUUCCCUUUUUUUUUCUUUUAAGCACAACACGAGGGUGAAAGAUGUUAAUUUGUAGACCCCUCAACCAAACUCUAAUUUUUAAAUACGCCCCUGAACUUUUUCCUUUUUUCUUUGAAAUCCUCAAUUUUUAGGUACUUUGAUUUAAAUUACUUUUAUCAAAGCAAUAUAUACAUAUGUUUGGAGGGAUGUAAGUGAUAGAUUUGUAUGUAUGGAAAGGUGCGAAUGAUAAUUUUGAUUUUGAAGGAGCAUCUGUAAUAUUUUCAAGUUUUAAAGAGUUAUAUUUAAAAUUGUCCCGAAUUUUAUAUCAAUUGACUAUAAUAUUUUCAAUACAUAUGGAGGCUUCUCAACUACAUGUUAUGCUGAUUGAGACUUUUCUCAACUUCUAACUUUUGAAAAUUUGAGUUGUUAUUCUAACCAUUAGGCAUCAAUUAUUUCAAUUUUGUCUCUGUGUAAAAUUAAUAAGUUUGAUAAAACUUUUUGUUUAUUUAGUUUAGAAAAAUGUAAAGAAAUACAGAAUUUAUCUGACCUAUGAAUCAUUUGAUAUUUUGACUUUCAAUUUUUAAUAAAUCAUUUAUCUCCACAGUUUGAAGUUAAAGUACUAUCGACUGACUCACAGAUCGAACAACUGAAAAAAUUGAAUAAUAAGAUCAAAAUUUUGAAAGAUUGAAUAAACGAUUCAUAAUAAUUUAUAGUAAAAACAAGUUAUGUAUAAUGUACCAAAGAGAAAUAAUUUUUUUUUGAGAGAUAAGUAGCACGCUACCCGCCUCGAUUAUUUCAUUUAGAAAUAAACUUAGCUGUAAAUGUGAAUCAACUAGGAUUCGAACUUGGACAAAGAGAAAUAAAGUUGAGGGGGACAUUUCAAUACAUUUCCACAAAAAUAUAUCAAUAAUGAAAAUGGAGAAGGAGAGGAGCCUCUAUGAUCAUCAUCAUGAGGGUGUGGAAACUUGGGAGGUGGAGACAUGGAAAGGUGGAAGAUGAUCACGUGAGACCCACGUGGAUCCUAGGCAGGGUAGCAGAUCCUAGUGGAGCAAAUUAAGGCCCACACUGCUCUCUUACAGGAGCCAAUAUUAUUCCCUGGGUCAUAUGUGACAACACACCUCGUAACUUGCCGGGUCAUAUGUGACAACACACCUCGUAACGCAAAUUGCGAAUUAAACUUACGUAGUAGUUUCAAAUUUUACUUUCGUUCUCAAAAUUUUAAGUUGAGCUUGGAUUCCGAUCUUUUCACUUUCGAAGAGUAAUUUGCGGUAUCAUCUGGUGCGUUCGUAUAUCUGUAAACUAUUUAUACUUGUUGAAUUCCUAUCUGUAUCCAUAUAUCCGACGCAUAACAUAAUAGCUAUGAUACCGACUGUUUCUAUAACAAGUGGCAAAGAACCUGAUAGUUGGUAUCCGAGACCCAAGUUCGCAGUAUUACCCUGAAAUCGGUGCCACCAUAUGUUUUGUGUCUAAAAGCUCUAGUUCGAGUCAGAUGCGAGGCCAUGCUAAACUCCGGUUGCAUGUCGAACCACCAUGAAAAUGCACGUCAAGUUACGGUGAAUUCAAUUGUGCGCUGCAAAACCAUGUUGUACCAGCUGUUUAAAGUAAUUUACUGAGCAACCGUGUAGAAAAACGUACCGAACUUACAUGAAAUAUAAAUUAUUUUGAGUUGGCAACUCAAUCUUUCAAAAUUUUAAUUAUACUAUUUAGCCCUUUAAUACUUUAAUUUCGAAAUUUAAAUGUGUCGCUUAUUUUCAUAAGCUUUAUUAAUAUAGUUCAAAUAAUUUUCAUAAUUAUAAAUUUAUUUAAAUAAAAAAUUAGUUUAAAUUUUAAAAUUAAAGUGUUGUUAACUAACUCAUAUCAAACAAACUAAAAUAUUAGAUAGUAAAAAUUAAAAGUUUGAAAGAUUAACUCGUCGAUUCAAAAUGAUUUACAAUCCAGAAAAGUUAAAAAAAAAAGGGGAAAUGAUCCCUACCUCACCGGCUCACCCACUGUCGAUCUGAGCAAAACCCGAGCUGAGUGUGGGUUCAAACUUAAAAGCGAGCCUAACUUUAGGCCCGGGACAUAUUGUUUUCUUUUCCCAUCUUGGACCCAGCCCAAAUCUACAAUAAAGAAUACAAUUAAAGCCCAACUCGGUCCAAAAUAAACCAAUUAGGUCGGGACCAAUAUAAUAAUUAAAUCUAAACAUGGACCAAAUUUAUAUACAAGGCAUCACGAAUCUCAAAGACAAUGCUAUUCCCGCCGCAGAUCUACAACUCAUGCCCUAGAUUGGAAACCCCCAAAACCCAACGUCUCUCCUUCAACCCCGUUCCCGCCCCCUUUCUCCUUCCUCCUCCCUCGGACACCACCAUUAAUGGCGACUCAGGAGAACGGGAGCGGCGCCGAUGCUCCUCCGAGCAGGUCUUCCUCCUCCUCCGCCGCCGCCGCCGCCGCCGCCGGCGUCGACAAGGGCGUCGACUUCGCCAACUACUUCUGCACCUACGCCUACCUCUACCACCAGAAGGAGAUGCUCUGCGACCGCGUCCGCAUGGACGCCUACUACAACGCCGUGUUCCGCAACAAGCACCACUUCCGCAACAAGGUACCUAGGGCAAUCCGACGGUUUAAUUUGGUGGGAUUGGUGCGAAAGGUCGUGCUGGAUGUGGGCACGGGGAGUGGCAUUCUCGCAAUUUGGAGCGCGCAAGCCGGGGCGAGGAAGGUGUACGCGGUGGAGGCCACGAAGAUGGCCGAGCACGCGCGGGAGCUCGCGAAGGCGAACGGCGUGGACGAUGUCGUCGAGGUGAUCGAGGGGUCGAUGGAGGAGGUCACUUUGCCGGAGAAAGGCUAGUGCAGUGAUAUGUAAAUAUGUGUCAAAUUCAUCUCCCUUUUUGCUUUAUUUACUCGAAGUAUGGUAUUUUGAUUUGUGGCCGUGGGGAUUGAUUGCAUUGCAGUUGAUGUUAUAAUAUCGGAGUGGAUGGGUUAUUUUCUCUUGAGGGAGUCGAUGUUUGAUUCGGUGAUAUGUGCUCGCGACCGAUGGCUGAGACCGGAUGGAGCAAUGUAUGUGUGUGAUAAUUUUCUUUCCUUUUCUUUCGAUUUACUGCUUUUAAGUUUGAUUCUUUGCUUGUUCACUGUGAGACAUUGUUGGAACACUCUUCAAAGGUAAAUUACAAGAAAAAAAAGCAGAAGAUGAUAAUAGCAUCAUCUACAGGUAAAUAAGGUCAUCUUUACAGGAAAAUGUUAUUACAAAAUACAAAUGCGUAGUAACUGUCAUUAUUCAGGGUACUAUCGAUAUUGGACAGAAAUAUAUUGCAAUGAACAUUCUAGUUUUACAUUCUGUGGCGCUGGGAGUUAAUCUAUGACAGUAUGUUCUUAAUUUAGUUCUAAAAAUUUUAGUUCACGCCAUACUUUUUCCUGUUUUACCUUUAUUGGAAAUUACUUCUAGUGGAGGUGCAACUCAUCAUCUGACCUAGUUUUGUUAAUGCAGGUAUCCUAGUCAUGCUCGGAUGUGGGUCGCACCUAUAAGAUCUGGUCUGGGCGAUCAGAAAAUCGAUGAUUUUGAACGUGAGAUGAAUGAGUGGCAUAACUUUGUUGACGAGACCGAAGCUCAUUAUGGUGUCAAUAUGAAUGCUCUGACAAAGGCCUACCGUGCAGAACAUGAAAAAUACUAUUUGAAGGUAAAUAUUAGACCUCUUUCUACAAUAUGUAAAAACGUAUAUUUCCCUGUUGCUUUAUAUUGCUUUAUGCUUUACACUGAACAAUAACAGCCAAUUGGGAAUUCAUGUGGAAAACAUGCGUAUGAGCAUGUGCUUUUAUAUAAAAAAAAUACUUCUAUACAUUUAUGUUCUGUUGAUUUUGACUGCCAGAAGCUGUAAUCAUCAAUAUAGUCCGAUUUUGUUUUCGCUUGUUACUAAUCCUCUGUAAUUGUUCUGUACUUCCUAGACAUCAAUGUGGAGUAACGUUCAUCCAAAUCAGAUUGUAGGAACUGCUGCUGUUAUUAAAGAAAUCGAUUGUUUAACAGCUACAGUAGAUGAAAUCCGCAGUGUUAUGGCACAGGUCACCAUGCCUAUUAUUAUGGACAGGGCAAGAGUGUCCGCAUUCGCUGGGUGGUUUGAUGUUCAUUUCCGAGUAAGUUUUACCAGUUAUAUUUACAGAAAUUUCUUCUGACAUGCAUGGAAAAACAUCUAUUCAAACAUAUGCUCCUGUAACAUGUGACUUCUCGUAUAUGCCCUUGGAUCUACCCCUAUCUUAAGUUGGAAAGACAUCACAUUUAUGCAAGGGAAGUUGGUUUGGAUUGUUUUUUAUUUUAAAGAGGGGGUUGGGGUGGUGUGUUUUUGUUGUUUGGGAGAUGUCAAUUCUUUUUCUCUGGGUGUAUAUGAAACUUCAGCUUUUGCAGAGAUAUGUAUCGUUCUUAUGUAUUGACAUCUUUCUUGUAGGGUAGCACGCAGAACCCAGCGAUGCAUGAAAUUGAGUUGACUACUGCUCCGAGUGAGGAUUUCGGGACUCAUUGGGGUCAGCAGGUGAGAUUUCCAGGCAUAUAAACUAUAACAUCAUUUUUCCAUUACAUGGGAUUUUGUUGGAGUUUCGGGCCUGUUUGGCUUCGCAAAAGAUUUCUUGGAAGUACUGUUUCAGUAGACUUGUUCGAAAAAAAUGUUACUAGCUUUUCUUCGGCUGUAAUCCCUACAAACAGCUUCUAACUGCAGCAGAAGUGGAAGCUGGGCUUUUUUUUUUUCUCCUUUGGGUUUUUAUAUUUGGUCAGUAACUGCCUAUUCUUUUUAUAUCAAAUUGAAGCUCCUAAAUAAAAGAAUAAGAACGUUCUUGCUUUAGAUUACCAAUAAUUGUACAAGAAAUACCUGUGUUUGCCUGCAUAUUCUAGAAGAGUUGACAUUUUACCCUUUUUUUUGGUUAAAUUUUGAGCAGGUAUUUUUGCUGCAUCCUCCUAUUAGAGCUAAUGAAGGGGAUAAAAUUAUCAUGUCCUUCACAAUGAGCCGAUCCAAGGAAAAUCAUCGGUUGAUGAAUGUCGAAUUCACCUGUGAAUUGGAGCAGUCAUCUGGCAAGCGGCUCUCGCCUGUCACUUCCAAGGUUUUCAUUGAGUAGAAAGAAGCUAAAUUCAUCAGAGCAAGAAUGGUAUGCUUAAGCAAUCUUUCAUACUAUUUCGCGAUCACAAUUCACUAAUAUUAUGUGUAAACAUGGCCACAAAGCUGCAGAUUUAAAAUUCAAUUGCUAAUUUUUGAUCUCUGAUUGAUGCCUACCUUCUAGUGUUAUCUGUUUGCUCUCUCUCUCUCUCUCUCUCUCUCUCUCUCUCACGCACACGCACACGCACACGCACACGCACGCGCACGCAUGCCCGCACUCACACGUGCACGGGAACAUGCACGCACGAGAAAUAUAGGUUCCUCAAAUGUCGAUAUUGUUAUCACAUGCUUUUGAUCAUUUACUGAGUUGCUAAUAAUGCUGAUAGUUUUUUCAAUUCUGAACUUCCAAUUGUUUUUUUAACUGCUGCUUAAUUACAUUUGUUGCUUGGCGGCAGGCUCAGGAACUCUCAAGUCUCAACUCCCAAGUGAUUUGGUCGGUUUGUGUACUAUUCUCUUCUAUUAGAAAACAAUUUGUUCUCGGAAUGUCGGCAACGUCGAUCCCGUGCAGACAAUGGUGAAGUGGUAUGAGUUUUCUUCAUUGGACGCGAUUCCGAUCUACGUCACAGGACGUGUUUUUAUGGAGCUUUUGAGGCUUAAAAGCUUUUGUAGUGGUCGGAGUUUCUAUGACCUGUGUAUUCACUUGUUUCUUUUGUCGAGUGUUUUAUUCAAAGCAAUUCAUGGUUGAAAAAGUAAAAGACUUUCAGGUAAGUCUUAUAAAACUGUUUUUGACAGAAGCCUGCUACUUUUUUCAGUUAGAAUCCAUUCGACAGUUAUAUUUCUGUAGAAAUAAUUUCACAUUCAUCUAAUCUUAUUUAAGCUUCCUGCUGCAGCUUUUGCGAAUACAAAUUUUUUGCUUAAUUUACUGUAUAGAAUUAGGUACUAUAUUAUUAAUAGUGUUUUUGUGUUAUUAGGUUUUUGGCUCCUAGAAGAAAGAAUAUACGUUUAGAAUGAUAGUGGUCUUUUAGAGUUUAGUGGGUAAUUGGUUGAAUAAUAUGAUCUAAUAAAAAUUUGAUAGUAUCGAGCGCUUGGUACUAUUCAGAAUAGUAUAGUAGUCUGAUUUUACUAUAUAUAUAUAUAUAUAUAUAUAUAUAGAGAGUGAGGCUACUAUGCUAUCGGAAGCACGGAGUCUUCCGUACUUCCAGCUCGUUUUCGAUGUUGCGACUUUCGAAUCGUCGAUCGGCUCUGUUAAACUUGAUCUAGAGUAUUUGGAGUACAUAGAAAAUAAAUUUUAUUAUUUUUCGAUACCAUUUGCCUAGUGAUCGAAUAGGCUCAAAAUCAGCAAAUUUCAAUGGCCGUCGUUUGCAAGUUUAACGGUGUAGAAAUAUCCAAAUCGCGUGAAAUUUUGAUAGAAAAUUCUUUAUACUAUAUAAAAUAAGAUCAAUAUUUUUGAUUUAAAAUUUUAAUAUCAUAUUAUUAUAUUUUGUAAGAUUUUUAUUUUCAGCCGUUGAUUUUGAGCCCCUUCGUUCACUAGGCAAAUGAUAUCGUAAAAUCAUAAAAUUUAUUUUCUANNNNNNNNNNNNNNNNNUAUAUAUAUAUAUAUAUAUAUAUAUAUAUAUAUUUAACUGGCUGAAAUAUCAAAGAAGAGAGUUGUGAAUUAAAAAAAAAGAAAGUUUAGGGACUUAAUUCGUAAAUGGAGGCGGCCUUGGUGUAUUUGACCCUUUCUCACGAGACCAGCACGUACCGAACUUAUCUCCUCGAUACCAAACUUUGAUUUGUAAUAUUACACCUCAACCUUUGGUUGUCUCAAAAUGAACCCCCGAUUUUGCCUUUUUAAUUGACAUGAUUUUGAGCCUAAAUUUCUUUAAUUAGAGUUAUUUGUAUUAGCUUCUGAAAAAACAGAGAAAAAACAGUUCUUAAAAUUAAUUGCUAUAACUCCAUGGAGAUGAUGGACGCUUUAAAAUAAUGGAAAUUACUGUUAAAGUUGUUAAAUUUAACUGUUCAAAAUUUCUCAAAUCAAAGCAAAAAUAAAUAAAUAAAAAUCUAAAGCUUCGGUUGGCAUCGUAGUUAUUUCCUAUAAUUUUACACGCUAAAAAAUUCUAUAAAAUUGCAAGUAAAUUAGUAUUCCCUCCCACACUAUUUGAUGUAAAACUUUUAUUAUCUUAUAAAAGAGUAGUUCGGGGGGGUCUUGUUCCAAAUAGCCAAUAGCGGAGGGGCCACAGUGCACUUUUCCCGCUCUCCCCGAGUCCCAUCGGUACCAAACAAUCUCGCGGGAGGAGCGAAACCAUUCACGAAAUCUCCUCGACACCAUUACCAACCAACCAACCACUCUUCGUAUCCUCUCUCUUUCUCUCUCUCUCUCUCUCUCUCUCUCUCUCUCUCUCUCCUUCGCCUCCGACGAUGCACCGCUCCUCGAGCGCCGCGCGCACGUCCGACGAGUACUCCUCCCCCGCCGCCGCCGCCGCGGCGGCGGCGGCGAAGGGCGGCGGAGGCGGCGGGUCCUUCGCGGUGUCAGAUCAACUCCCCACCUACGAUCCCCGAUCCCACGCGGGGAGGAAGGAGGCGGCGCGCGCGAGGUUCGCCGAGGACGCCGUCCACGCCAUCCCCGUCGUCCUCGUCCUCUGCGCCUUCCUCCUCUGGCUCUCCUCCGACCCCGGUACGAUCACCCCCCCGCAUCGUGCUCUUGUUAGGGUUUCUUUGUGUUGUCGUGCUUGUUUGGGUCGAAAGGUAUCAUCGUCGAUCAGGAUUACGAGGAAAUUUUAGCUUGCACUUGCGUUUGGAAUCAAAUCUGAGUAGGAUUCAACUAAUCUCGAUUUAGAAGAACAAUACGAUUCGGCUCGAUUCGAUUAAUUCCAAUUUGGAAUAAAUUGGAGGCGAAUUAGAUUCCAUUUUUGUUUUAUUGUUAGGAUAGAAAUGGAAAAUCGUUUCAAUAUGUUUUACUUUUUGGUUAAACAAUAGGAGAAGAGUACAUAUGAUUAUUUUUAAGUAGAGGUAUAUUGGGGCUACAAAUAUAUUUUAAACUAAUAUCAUGAAAAAUUCUAGUAAAAUCAUUUUGAAACCUAAUCAAAUAAUGGUUCCGGAAACAAUAAACUAAAGAAAAUUGCAGUUCCAAUUUGCUGGAAUUUUAGGUAAUAAUUUGGAAAUUACUAGGCCAUGUAGGUAUUUCUGUGGUAAUUUUCACCUCUAGAUUUUGUGUGCUCUGUUCAUAUACAAUGAAGAGAUUUUUAAUGAAUGUGGAACUAGCAAAAAAAAAAAAAAAAAAAACUGUUUUGAUAAGAAAUUCAAUUUCAUUACUAAUGUUUUCUUUUUUGUACAAGUGUUUGGUUAGGGAAUUAAGUGGGGAUGAUGGAGAUAUCCUGCGAGAUAUCAAUUAUCGUGGAAUUGUGUUAUUCUCUGGAAUAAGCCUUUAUCCCAACUAAUUUCAAUUUUUCCUAGUGAAACACGGGGUCGAUAACAUAAGAAGAGUUAAAAUCCUUCUUAGGGACCUUUUGCACCCCCCCAGGAUAAAAAUUCUCAAACAAAACAAUACCUUAUGUCUUUUCCUUUGCUAAUGUAACAACUGGGUGUGGUAAGUUUGUUAGACAUUGUCUUUCUUGGAUGUUCCAAGAUCAUGCCUUUUAUUUCACUUAGUUUUCUUCUAAACAGAAGUUGUUAUGGUGAAUAAAGAUCAUCCUGUUGUUGCCAGAAUCAAGAAUAUGACGAACAAUUGAUGCGUACGAUGACACUCCAUCUUAGCACUUAAUAAAGGAAUUGAUCAGAAUGUUUUUGAAGAAGCGAGAAUAGCUUUGCGAGUGAAGGACCAGAAUAAGGGAUCUCUACUUCUUUUUCGGAGAAGAGUACAACCAACUACUAGCCUAUCUUUUUUAUCUUGGUACAUAUAAUUCUUUCGAGUAACUCCAUUUAUUUGAUUCCGUUUUGCAAGUAAGUUCAGUGUUAUUUUCUUUGGCAUUUUUUAUUUUUAUGAAUAUUGAGACUGGAGCAAUAUUGUCUUCUAACUUGGAUGCUCUUUCCAUCAUUUGGAAUAGAAAUUUGUUGAUGCAAAUAGAAACCUAUUGAUACUGAAUAAAUCUCCUCUCCCUCGGUGCAAAAUUUCUAGCUUCGAUGAACAUCGCGUGCAAAAGCAAAAUUUAUCCAGUAUCAAACUGAAUUUUCCACCGCAAUCGAUUAAUAACUUCGGCUGAAGCAAUCUGUUCAAUUGGUUUCGUACUUCUGUAGAAAAUUGGAUUGGAAAGUUCAUAAAAAAUCAAAUGGUUUGCCUUAUUUUCACCAUCAGUUUUAGAUGUAGGGCUCUGUUCAAAUUACUGUUCUUGAGAAAGAAAGAUGUUAUAACAUGCUGCAGAUGAGCUAGCGAUAUCUUGGAGCUUAUGCACUUAAAUCAAUUAGCUUACCUUCGUCUUCUUAUCUAUCUUCAAUCUCCAUUGUUCACUUUUUAUUGUUUGAUUUAUCGUAGUUUCAUUUUUGAUCCAAACUCCAAUUCUCUAAAAUACAACAAUUAUCUUCGGUCCACUUCAGGUCAAAGUCAACUACGUCGUCCAUUCAUUUUUACGCAUUCACUUAUUGUCAAAAAAAUUAUAGAACCUAGAUGAAUAUCAAUUUUAUAACUAUAAAAGCAAGCAGCAAAAUCCCAGUUCGGUACUAUGCUAUCUUGUUCUUGAAAAAAAAAAAAAAAAAAAAAAAAAAAAAAAAAAAAAAACAAGCAGCAAAAAAAUUUAUUUAAGCACAAGUCAUCUAAAAAUCUAUCUUAAUCAGAACUUCAUUGCAAACUUGCAAUUGAUUAUUCACCAUGGUAUAGUUUGAAAAUAGCGCGGAAACAAAGAGAGCGCAUUAAAAAUGCGGUCUUAUGUCUGACGUGGCAAACAAUUUCCAGAGACUUUAAUUCGGAAAUCUUGGCUAGGUUCGUGAAGUCUAAAUGAGAAUUAUCCCUACACCCAGAUCAUCAUCCGAACAUCCAUGAACCGCUUGAUGUAUUAUCUCUCCAUUUCGUCAACUUCCGUACGGACGGCCAGGAGGACCGGAUCACAGAUGUAACCAUGCACCCGAUUCACGUGAUAGUUUCUCUGUCGCGUUACGGAGGAUUCGUUCGCAUUGUCGCAGAGCGAGCGACUACAGGAGAGAAACUUGGAUUCGAAGAAACCAAUGGAGUCGUUUCCAUCCUCCCCCUCGAUUUUAUUACUAAAACCCUAAUUAUAGUAAUGCUCUCGGAUUCGAUAGAGCGAGAGCGAGAUCGACGCGAUCGCGGAUGGAUCCCCUCGCGAUCCGCUUCCUCGUCUCCCUCCUCGCCUCCUCCGCGAUCGCCGCUCGAUCCUUCCGCCGCAGAUCCGUGGAUCUGUCGGGCGUUCUCGUCGGGAUCCCGGUCAUGGUGAUCCACAUGACCGCGGGCUAUAGGUUUCGCGAUCUCUUCUUCUUCGCCUUCUUCUUCUUCGUGUUCGUUCGAUUUAGAUCGGAUUUUGCUUACUCAGAGGUGUUGAACUGGGUUUUUGAAGGUUCGCGGCGCUUCUUCUGGUGUUCUUCUUCACGUCGUCGAAGCUCACGAGGGUCGGGGAGGAGCGGAAGCGCGCCAUUGAUGUGGAGUUCAAGGAAGGGGGGCAGAGAAAUUGGUGACAUUUUGUUGUAGCAUGUCAACUGUUUGUGAAAGAUUUGGUCUUUCUUAGGCUCGCUAAUUGUUGCCACUUCCAUUUUUUUUCCUAAACUUUUGCUCUUCUAAUUGUUUGAUCUUCUAAAAUUUUUGCUUCUCAUUAGUUGGUAGAUUUCAUUAAGGAUAUUUCGUCGUGUGCUGGCUCUACUGAGCUCUUUAUUUGAUUGCUAUACCCUAAAAAUAGGAUCUUUAUUAGUUGGUGUCUAUAUUUUAGGCCAUUUAAUGAGAUUUUACUUUCAUUUAGAUUUUUUCUUUUUUCCUGUUUACUUGAUGCUAAGUCUAUUUAGUGUUUGCUGUAAUGCUUAGCUUAUGUCGUCAUUUGAUGAGACGUCUCUAAAUCUGGCAAAUGAUAUGUUUGUCCAAAAAAGUGAACAAAAGCUAUCAAAUUUUGAGUUGUCUAGUUUAGUUUCUAGGAAAGAUGGUGGGAAACAUUCUCCUUCCAUAGCGAAAUAGUAUGAGAUGGUAUGGUUAGCUUAUUUGUCAUAUUCAAGAUCAUUAUAGCUUAAAGAGAAGUGCUUUAACGAAGCUAUUCCUUCUAAUAAUCAAGAAUGUUUUUUGCUUUUUACUUUGUAUCAGUAUAUCAUGGCAUUAUUGGAGUUCUGAAUGAUUAUUGUAGAUGUUUUUUUUGCGGGAAAUUCUUUUGCCAUGUCUUAUAACUUGCUGUCCACCAUCUAUCCUAAUUGGCAGGGUACAAGUUCUAGCAAAUAGUGGUAUCGCUACAGUUUUGGUAGUUAUAGUAGCAUUCUUAACUGGGGGACAAGAUAGGUGCUUGGAUACAAAAGAGUCAAAUUAUGUAACUGGACUAAUUGGUGGUAUUAUCGGACAUUAUGCUUGCUGCAAUGGAGAUACUUGGUCUUCGGAACUUGGAAUACUUAGCAGAGGUCAACCGCGGCUGAUCACAAACUUCAAGGUAUGAGUUUUUUAUAUUUCUGGGAAAUCUUCUAUAUGCAUGGUUCUUAGUUAAUCUGGCGUUUAUAUUCAAGAAAUUUCUUUUGUUUAAUUAAUUUUGCGGAGAAAGUAGAAGCGUUUUACUUUUACUUUGUUGUCCCAAUUAGUUCCGUCCAUUUAUCUUAUUUGUAACCCCCGUUUAUCUAAAUUUUGCUAUUCCUUUUUCAAAAUCUAUUCUUAUAGAUGUUCAAUUCAUACUUCAUACAUAAGUUUGGAUUCAAAAUAAGUGCUCUGGCUUACAUCAGUUAAAUUUGCAUAAUAUUGGUCACACUUUGGUUAAAAGCUUCUUUUUGAAUCUGGCUAGUAAAGCAGCUUGAAAUUAAGUAAUUCGACUGUUAACUCUAUCUUGCUUUAAGCAGAUUUUUACUAUAGUAAGAGUUCACUACCUCUCUAAAACCCUACGGAAACUGCUUUUCUGAUAAGCUAAAAAUCAUAACAGAAAGGUGAAGAAAUAUGCAAAUUUUCUGUUAUAUGCAUAUUUUCUAUUCACAUACUUUCUCACUGCUUUUUCAAUCAGAAGAUAUUAAUUUUUAUUACUACUGAUAUUAUUCUUCACCUCCAUUCAAUCAGAAAGUUAGAAAGGGCACAAACGGUGCAGUAACUGUUGAUGGGUUUCUAGCAGCAGCUGCAGCGGGCUUUGUCAUUGGGCUCACUUUCGUCCUAGUUGGAUUCCUCACCUCUGAAUGUGCUCCUAAGAUAGCUCGGAGGCAGUUGCUUGUUGUACCGAUUGCUGCAGCAGCUGGGCUGUGCGGAAGCUUGAUUGAUUCCUUGUUGGGUGCAACACUGCAAUUCAGUGGAUAUUGCACUUUGCGAAAAAAGGUAAAUAAUUCUUCACCAGUCAUUGUUGUUUUCUUUCUGAUGGUCAUUUGGGCGAAAUUGUUUUACGAGUUGUAUUAUGAGUUUGUUAUCCUACUUUCAUGUAAGUAUCAAUAUACUGCUUACCUUCAUUUGGUAUCGAGAGUGUCACCAAUUUUAUCGGUAUUGUCCCCUUUCAUCGAAUAGAUUCAACUCUGCCAUCAUCUUACAUUUUUACAUGGUCGGUUUUUCUGAUAUUCCAAUAAAAAGCUAAUAAGGAUUUUAAUAAGCAAAGCUUGAUAUACAUGCUGAUUUAUUAAGCUUAUGGACAACAAGUAUAGCAUAAAAAGACUUCAUUCGGUAGAUCUUUGGCUCUUUGAUGACUUGAUAAUUAAAGUUAAGAGGACAGUGGCUCCUCGAAUUAGAAGGCCUGACUAGCUAUCAAGCACUUUAUUGUGCUAUUCGUUAUCCUUCUAGUACGAUACUCCUAUUUGGUAUAUAUUUUUCCAAAAUUGUUCUAAUUGUUCAUAAAUCUGGUGUUGUUAUGCAGGUGGUUGCAAACCCAGGUCCAACUGUUAGCAAGAUCUCAGGAAGGAACAUUCUAGACAACCAUGGGGUCAAUGUCGUCUCCGUGCUAUUAACAACACUUCUUACAGCGAUCGCGUGCUUGUACAUCUUCUAAGCAUACCGAUCCAUCAUUCCUCUUCGUCUACAUUUGUACGGUAGUUAAUGCUAGCCGGGUUUUCCCACAUUAUUACCAGGAUUAGUGUUAACAGUUGUACCAUAAAGCACACUAGUUGUUAACAAGGCCACGGAUUUUAAUUUUAUUCUUAGUUUUGGAUAAUUUGAUACAUUUUAUUCUUCUAUUAGUUGGGGGGCAAGAUUCAAAGUGCGCGGUGACACGAUACCUGUUGUACUUUACAUUUGUAGAAGCAUUUCGUAAUUACGUGAGGUAGUUCCUUUUUUUUUCGAUUGUAUUGUUUCCUGUAUGAACUCUAGAUGACUUUGAUAUAUGUGCAUCUGUCUGAUCUGUUUCCUUUAAAAACAACUUCUCUACCUAAAGGUAGAAGCUAUGUGUUUAACAGUCAAGAUGUUUGCAGCUUCCGCCGACAGCGAGAAGCUGAAAUGAGCUUCUAGAAUCCGAAUGCAAAAGCUCUAAUUUCUGCCUUUAACUGUAGCAGUAAGCUGCUGGGGUCUUGUUAAUUCUACCAAAUUUUGCAAGCAAUAUAGCAUCAUGGGAACAAGGUUUUUCAACACUUUAUUAGCAACAAACAAAACAAUUUAUAAAUACAUAGUUUAUACUUGCACACGCAUGAAAACCAGGAACUCAAGCAGAGUUCACAAGCAUUCUCUCACGUCUUACACAAGGUGGACAGAGGAACAUGCGCUCGGUCACAACCACGCCAUUAUUUUCGCAUACAACACUUUUUGCGCUCACAUAAAUCCGAUAGAAUCAAGAUGCAUGAAAACCUCGACACUCCGCAAACUCACAAGAGAAUUUACUCUGAUUUGCAGCAACAGCAGAGGCAGUCGAGGCAACACUCGCAGGCCUCGUAGCAGCAGAAGCAGCAUUACAAGGUGAAAAAGCUGUUCAAGAAAGAGUUUAAACGACUCGGAUUAGUAAGUUGAAGUCACCGUGUAUUAUGAUACCUUAAAGGUUGACUUUAUAAGAAACGAUCCAGAAAUAGUCACCAAAUCUAAGAGGACAACAGCGAGCAGAAGAAUGAAGAAGAAGAAAAAGAGCAAUGCAGGUUCCAAACAAGUUACAAACCUUUACUGCUGCAAAACAGUUUGCCGAUUUUUGUUGGCAUGUUUGAUUUCCAUCUAACAGGUAAUAAGGCAAUGAAAUCUCUCUCUCUCACAAAAAGAUUGCUAAAGACUAACCCUUUAACCUGUUCACAAUUUUUUCUUUUUCUUCUGAGGGCUCAAACACCAUCAAUUUAGCAUAAGAGGAAAUAGGCAAACAACAACUGAUUCAACAAUAGCACAAUUUUCUUAUAUCAUAUAAAAUAUUUUUCUCAGUUACGUGGGAUAUAUUGCUUAUCAACAAAUAUGAUGCAUUGGCAAUGGGCCUUAUCCUUUUCUUUGCAUUAGGUGAUGGGCAACUAAAAUUAAUGAAAAGCGACCUCUUUUUUUAUGUGAUAAUGCUAGCUACUUGAUUUAUGAAAGAUCCAAUGGUGCGCAUAAAAUGCAUUCAAUGACUCCCAACUACUUGAUGCAUGUAUUUAUACAAUUAGCUCCUUGACUCUGCCUCAAAAUUUUUAAAAAAUUUUUUUUUCCUCCUAUUUUUGGUGUAAUAUAUAAGAAAUAUAUCCAGUUGUUGUAAAAUGUUCUUUCACCAAUUCAUCAACAAAAAAAAACGAAAAACAAAAAACAAAGAAAGAUAACUUCAUUUAGCAUAAGAUGUCAAUUUGAUGAAUCCAUUUGAUAUCAGGUGAAGUGUAUUUUAUAUUCAAAAUAAAAGUUCGUUACCAGCCGAGGAUCGUAGGGACAUAUAUUUUUGUAAUGGAUUACUCAUAAUUCGUCACGUAACAGCGGGAAGAUGCUAGGGACUUAAAAUAUUUUUGUUCUGGAUUAUUUAUGAUUCCUAUAACUUUCCAACUUGAGUCAUAUAGUGAUGAUUUGGAUAUCUUAAAUACAAAAUAUGAAGAUUUUUUGCAAUAUUACAAACCACAAAAUGAACAGCCCGUAAAAGCAUUCUCAGUUAGUUCUCAACUUUUAAUUUGUUAUAAUUUUAUUCCGGACUAUUAUGUAUAGUUUUAAUUUAUCUAUUAGAACUGACAUAACAAUACUGUGACAAAAAUGCCAAAAAUCGCGAGCAAAUCAUAACCAUUUUGAACUUGAAGAUCAAAGCUAAGCAGUUCAUAAAGUGAGGAAUUCUCUUUUCGACUCCUCCGACUCGCAUAAGAGUUAUGAAUUAUGAUAUAUUUGUGUAUUUUCAAGAAAAAAACGAAGUAGAAAAAUCAAAACAGAAAUGAAGAGGAAGAUAAUCAACUAAUGCAUAUAAUAUUUGAGAGAGAGAGAGAGAGAGAGAGAGAGAGAGAGAUGGACCAAGCAUAGAGCCAGCCCUUCUCAUGGUGGCGCUUCUUGAUGUGUUCUGCGUAGGACAGGUUCUCUGGAUCCGCCAUUUUUAUAUGUCUUUAGAUAUAUAUUAUACUAUAUACAGAGAGCGAGAGCGCGAGAGAGAGAGAGAGAGAGAGAGANAAGUGCUUAUUACAAAGCAUAGAGUGUUUGUGUGUGUGUGCGCGCGCGCGUGUGUCAAGGGUGGUGCCUUCUAGUGUCGGCAACCACGUGCGUGGCACGUGCUUGUGUAUAUUAUUGCAUUGCACGUUAUAAUUUCAUAUAUAGUUUCUAUCUCAUAUAUGUAAGUCUUUUUAUAAUUUUUCUAAAAUUUUAAUUUUAAUAAUUUUUUUAUUUAAUUUUAUAUAAGUGGAUUUAUCAUAUGCGGGUCCAUUAAUUAAAGUUGCUUUGGUGAUAGGCCCCUCCCUCGUAGGAGGAAUUCUACACUGUCAUACUUGCACCACGUCAUCAAUAAUAAGUCAAUUACAUUCCUUCAUUUUAAACAAAAGUAUAAUAAAAAUACUUUUUUACAAUCAUGAUGGAACAUAUAUUCUUAAAAUGAUUAAUUUGAUUGAUUUGUUACGCCACGUCACUAAUAUAUCCGUUGCAUUCUAGAAUUUUUCCUCUCAUAGAGUCGUAGUCAUACGUUACUGUUGCUCGGCACCAAUCCGAACACGUGGCUCGUAUUAUUAUUAUAAUAAUUCAAGAAGACCCCUGGAUGGUUGGAAAAAUUCUAGAAUGCAACGGGUAUAUUAGUGACGUGGCGUAACAAACCAAUCAAAUUAAUCCUUUUAAAAAUAUAUGUCCCAUCAUGAUUGUAAAAAAGUAUUUUUAUUGUACUUUGGUUUGAAAAGAAGGAAUGUGAUUGACUUGUUAUUAAUGACGUGGUGUAAGUGUGACAGUGUAGAAUUCCUCGGAUGGUUGGUGGGGACAUUCUCUUGCCGUAAUUAUAAUUAAAUCUCUUUCAUUUUUUUCUCAUUCUAUUAUUAAUUUUUUAAAUCAGCUUAUUAACAUUUUUUUCCUAAAUAGUUAAUACCAAGUGAUAUCUCCUCGAGCAGUUGGCAAAGAACUAAGUGGUUGGCACCCAAGGUCUCAAAUUUGAAUUCUAGUCGAUUUAUAUUUUCAGCUAAAUUUAUUUCUAAAAUAAAAUAAAUAAAGCGAGUAGCGUGCUACUUAUCUCUCUAAACAAAAAAAACACCUCUCUCUUUUCUUUUAGAUGAAAAAAAGAGAGGGAGAAAAAAAAAUUUAUUUUGCACCAAAAGUAGAGUGUUUUUUUAUCCCUUUUCUUAUUUUAAACGACAGGAGCAUUUUUUUUUCUUUCUCUCUUCUUUUUUUUCUCCUAUUCUCUUCAUUCUAACGUAAAUUUCAUACCGAGAACAGUAAUUUUUGAACCCUCGAAAUAAAUUGGUAUAAAAUGGUAUAAGUCUAAAAUUAUUAUUCUUUUUUUUUUCUAGAACAAACUUGUUCCCGAGUGAGAACAAGAUUAAUUAAAAUCUAAAUUUAAUUUUAAUUAUUAUAUUAAAUUAUUAAUUAAUCUAAUAAAUAUAUUUAAAUUAUUAUCUAUUGUUUAAAUAAAGUAUUUAAUUAAUUUAUUACUUCUAAUUAAUUAGCUAAUUAAUUAUUAAUAAUUUAAUACAUUUAUCCACAAACUAAUAUAUUUAUAUUGAUCAGUCAUUCAUAUUUUUAUUAAUCUAAUUAAUUUUUUUACUAGUUACCUAAGUAACAUAAUUACUAACUGAUUAAAAAAUUAAAUUAUUUUUUAUAAUUAAUUAAUUAAUAUAUUUUUAUUAUUUUAUAUAAUAUUCAAAGCUAAUAAAUUUAUUAAUUUAUUAACCUCCUAUUCAAAUUUAACCAUUCAAACAUUAUUUAUUUUAUUUUAAAAAAACAAUUCAAUUUUUUUUUUUAAAUACAAAAUUAGUCUAAUUACUGCUUGUACAUAAACAUAUACCUAUCCCCAUCCACACGAAGAACACCAAACCAGAACCGCAAAGCUAGCUUGAAUUAAACAGAACAAAAGAACAAAACCAAGGUUGAAAUAGGAUCAAACCGNAAGUGACGUAAUAAACUAAAGAGUUCAAAUUAAUAGAUGGAGAAACACUUCUACUCACAUUUAAAUUACAGUAGUUGUGUCAAAUCAACGGAGAUUAGCAAUGCUUGAUAACAUGGUUGGGUAUAAAUCUUGAUUCGCUACAAAUGAUUUGAACUUUUCUCUUUGUUUAUUACGUCACUUUAUCUGAAAAGCGUGAAAGCAAAUCACAGAUUUAUCCCCAAAGUACUAAGACAACGGGCAAAGCAGAUUUCACAAAUAAUCCAACCAUAGCUGUUGUUUACCUUCACAAGAGAGAUAAGAUCGACAAACACAACCCGCAGAAAGGCCUAAGAAUAGUCUUAGAAUUUCGGCUCACGUGGACAAUGGAAAUAAAAUGAACCACAUGCGACGGCAAAGACGGGUACUUCGACCCAUCGAUGUCUCAUGUCACAUGCUGAACCACUUAUUUCCCAGAAUUAAGAGGCUUAGAACCGACUCUGAUGUUUCAAUACUUUAUUACUGUAAAACGACUGAGUAGUGAAAUUGCAUAUUGUUCGCAAGACAAAAAGUAAUAAUAAUAAAUUUCCAACCAAAGACAUUGAAAAAAGGUGAGGUGUAUAGCUAACAAACUUUUAACCACUAUGCAGCAGGUCGUCAUGAUUUAACUGUUUAAUGUAUAUUCAGUUUUCCACUAUAGAGUUUAUCUGUUCCAAAUCACUCUUUCUUUGUGUGUUGUGAAUCUCCAAUAAUUCAGCAUCACUAUGAAAAGCAAGCAAGAGCGGAAAAACGAUACUCAUCUUUUAUGUAUAUAAAAAGGUGACCUGAAAUUUCACUGGAUCCCCAAUUAUUUCUGAGUGUCAUUCCCCCAGAUCUAUGGCCUCUUCACUUACACCGAGCUGAAGAUGUUUUGAUUCGCCGGAGGCCUUAUAGAUCCCUGUUACCACCAUCAGCAUAGAAAACCAACAACCGAUUCCAAAGCAAAACCCGGUCGAAAAAUAAAAGACCUUCAGGUUUGCAUCGAGAUCGAUGCCCAUAAUUAGGGAUCACAAAAGAACCCCUUUUUUUUAACUCUGAUGAUACUAUCAAGAGGCCAUGAAAACUUAUGGCAUUUCUUGUUGCAGGUCCAAGCCAUUCCCGACUCUCCUAUCGUUCUGGCGUCGGCUAGGGUUUGUCGUCGAGCUGGAGGAGCCCGAGGUAGCCCCUACUUCAGAUUUGCACAGAGGGCAAAGGGCAUUGAUUUUGAGCCAUUUGUCUACACACUCCUUGUGGAAACAGUGCGAACAAGGAAGUUCACGGAGCUCAUCGUUUUCAACAUACAUUCCCAAGCAUAUGCAACAGACCUGUGGCAUAGUUGCUAAAAGUUAAAAUAAAAGGUAAUGACACGAUUUAAAUUUAAGUGCAUGGAAAAGUAUAAAGAAAAAACUCACAGCAUCCUCAGCCAAAAUGAUUCUCUCCUUGUCGGUUCCUGCAGCCAAAAUCCCAACUUCGCUUUGGCCUUCUGUGUUAAUUUCACUCUCUAAACCACUACGACGCCGCUUUAAUUUGAACUUAUAUGUAGGUAAUGCAUCAAUCGAUUCGGAGGUAGCACCUCUAUUUUGGUUCAUUUCUUCUCUAAUACCCAUAAUGGAUAUAAUACAAGGCAAGCAGCAGCAUAUCAUUGCACACAGAAUGAAAGGCAUUGCAUAACCGAUACAGCUGAAUGUAAGGAACACUAUACAUAACCUGCAAGGAAGAAAACAAUAGGUUUUAUAUUUUAAUACUUAUAACAUUAACAGUAAAAAGAGAAGAUACACAUGUAGGUGUUAAAUUAGACUAUUAGUCAUUGAACUUAAAGAGGAAUUAGGCCACUGGUCACUGAACUUCAAAGUGCUGUAAUCAAUGCAUUGAACUCCAGUACCUGAUACAAUUAGGUCACUCCCUCACUAGUGAAUUAAUUUACCAGCGGGACAAUGUGGAAAUUAAUUAAGCUGCCACAUCAUCUCAUCUAGGCUAUUGUGAAUCAGCUACCACAUUAUUCCACAUAAAUGCAUGCGGUGAAGAGUAAGUCACCCCUUCCAUUAGGGACAUUAAAAUAGUCUCUAACGGAGAAUACGAAGUUCAACGAGUCAAUAGCAAAAUAUUGAAGUUAAGCGGCCUAAGUAAAAUUUCCACAAUAAAUUAAAUUGUGUAAUUUGUCAAAUUCAAUUACCUGUACAAGUUAGGAGCAUCAGAAGAAGAAGAAUGCCCGCCAAAUAUCCACACAUUUCCCACAACAAACCACACAGCAAAGAAGCAGUCCAGUGCCAUUUUAAAAUGUUCAAUAAGCGCAUUAAUCCUGUAUAUCACAAAAUUUAUAUUAUCUUAAAGUUGAACCAAUAUAGUAGUCAUAAAAGUGAUCGAAAGCACACAAAAUUCUUUGCAUUUUGAUAGUAUUACCACAAAAUGAUUAAUCUGAAAGCCUUAAUAUAUUAAUAUGCAAGAAGGGCUUUCUAAUUAAGAAAAAUCAAAUUUCCUGAGAAUCAAGUGUACAUACUUCACAAGAAAGUUUUUCCAUAUUGAAUGGCUAGAUGAUCCCAAAAAAAAGGGUCCUAAGCAUACAGAAAAAGAACCAACACCGCAUAACUUUACAGCCACCACCUACUAGCUUACAAGUUGCAUUACCAAUGAAGAGCAAUUCACUAUGACCCCAUGUUUUUUGCUAAAAGUCAAUUAGUCUCAGAAUACAAUUACAAAUUUUGAUACACCUUCUCUGAGAAUUAAAGAGAUUUUUAGUACAAGGAGCAAAAAUAAGUCAUGAUCUGGUCUCUCGGAUAACAGAUUUAAAAAGCACCCAUUAUUUAGGAUUGAAUUUCAUAAAGAAUAACUGAGCAUCACAUUGACAGUUACUGAAAAUAAAGAACCCUUUCACUCCUAUUAAAAAUUAUUCAAAAGAGUCUAUCUUUAGCAUCUGAAUGUAACACAGGUGCUCAAAAGAACCAAGUAAAUAGCGUCUCUCAGAAAUUUCUGCGAUGAAAAAGAAUCAUAAAGACAACAGAGAUUAAUAUUGCAGUGGGCGAGAUAAAUGUUAAAAUAAGGUACCUUGGAUUAGCAGUUAUUAUAUUUUGUCUUAAUUGUGAGACCUCGGCAUUUCCAUGACCAUGCACUCCUUCUGAAUUUUGAGCACCAGAAAUGACAGUGUAAGAAGAUUGUGGAAGGUUGUCUGGAGAAGAAGAUCCCUGACGUGAUUCUUGUUCAGAGUUCAGGUUGUUGCGAUGAAUAUAGCGCCAAUAAAGAUGAGGGAGGGUAGCAAUACAGCCCACCGUAUAACCAAUAAUCCACUCAAACAAAGGAGCUUUUGGGUGCUCAUGCCUUGAGAGGGCGAGGACGAUAACUGCUGCUAUAAUUUGGCUCACAUUGACAACGAGCUCAACUGAGAUCCAGAGUCCAGAGUUCAAAGGGCUUCUGCGAGUGGCACGAUUGUAAUUAUCACCGCCUCUUCUAUUGAAAGAAGCAUUUCUAGAGUUAGAUACAGUCGGUGAUGGUAAUGAUGGUUGUGAGAGAGGAGGUGAUGUGCUUGUUGAAGGUCUAUCAUUGUAAUUUAAAUCAAAGUCAUCACGACCAUUUUGAUCAGAGAUUGAGGCCGAUCUUGGUAUAUCAAUUGCAUGCUCAUGGGUGUUAGGGUUUGCUGUGCGGUCCAUCAAUAAAGGAUGUCUAUCAGUUUGAACUUCACUUUGUGGUUCCAGCAGGGAAACUGCCAUCAACAAACACAGCUAAACAUAAAAUAAAAAUUGGCAUAGAAGUGCUGAGCUUGCCUCGUUCCUAACCUUCACCAACUUUCCUCUUAAUACGGAAACUUAAUAUCUCGGUAAGAGCUCGGUCCGAUCUCCAAAAAUAAAUAACUCCAACUUCAAUGAAGUUCUUUGGAAUCACCACAGAACAAUUUGCAAUAAACCAGAAAAAUAAAAUCUCUUUAUUUUCUUCUAUUGGUGAAAGAGAAAUUCAGAGACACCUGCAAUGCAAGAUAUAUAACAUCGACAAUUAGCACUACUGUACAAAUUGUGAAACUUUACAAAAUCAAAAGUAUUUUCGUACACAAAUAGCCAACUGAGGAGCUUCCACACAUAUAUAACUACAGUAAACAAUCCAAAAUGAAGAAUAGAUAGAUUAGUGGCCUAACAACGAACCUUCCUUUCACCCUAUAAAAUAGAUAUGUACUCUAUGGCAUUUUAACAUAGGUGAAAUAUCUGAUAGGUUUCAUUGCUACAAGUAAACAUUAAUUAUAGUGUAUCUAGAGCUCAUUAAAGAUUUUAGUACAUAUAUAACUUAAAGAAGGAAAUGCACAGAUAUUAAUUGCAAUACUAUGAUUCCAAUUAUGAGAUAAUCAAAGUACAAUGCCCCUAGGGUAAUUAUCCAACGACACAAAUACAAAACGCCCUAGGCAUCAAACUCCCAUAAAAUCCAAAAAGCAAAUAAAGUCAUCGAAUCACGAUACCAAUCCCGAAUCCCACUAAAUCCAUUCUAAACAGUUAGAAACUCAUGGAAAAGAACAAAAAUUAGGAAAAUCCCAUGAAAAUUCCUGCAAAAAGCAACCAGCAUAGAUCGAAACAAACCGAGAAUGUAAUAAAUAGUGCAGAAACCCUAAUAUUGUGUCACAAGCAAAACCAGAUGCCAUUUUCAGCUCAUUGACCCCAAAAACGCCCACAGAGCCCCAAUCCGCGAGUUUGUGAAGCACGAAAACACUAAAAUGAACCCUAAAUUAUUCAAUUAAUGAAAAAAAUAUCAAUUCCAAACCAAUCUGAGAAGAAUCGGUUCCGAAUGAUAGGGAAAGCUCGAAUCAAUUCCAUCCCUAAACGAAACCCUAAAGCGAAUACUAAAUUACUUGAGAUCGAAGCAAAUGGAGGAGGAAUCGAGGGCGAAAUCGUACCAAAUCCUCUUCUAACCCAUCGCCCUCGAUCGGAGUCGAAGAGGAAUCUCGUGGGAUUCUCCUCAAAUUCUCUCUCCUCUCUCGCCGUUCUCGUUUUCUUUUUUCCUUUUUUUUUUUUGAUUAUUUUUGGGGCGUCAGCUUUUGGGUGUAUCCAUUUCGUCGAUGAGCCGUUGGAAUAUACGAUGAGGUGAGAGGGCAAAAUUGGAAUUUCGCCUCUGCGCCGGUUUCAAAUUGUCCGAGUAGGGAAAUCAUGAAUCAAUCUUGACCGUCCGAUCAAUCGACUUUGACGGUGAUGGGGUGAGUUGGACGGUUGCCACUUGGAGGCUUGAAAACGAUUUGCGGAUUAGGUGUGCAUUCUGAAACACGUGUCGGAAUAUCAUUCGCUGUUGGUUGUGUUGUGCGUUUUAGAGGGGAGUCGGUUUGAUUGCGUACUUAGUUCCAGGGGUAUUAUCGUCAUUACGAAAGGAUAUAAAGCGACGCGAUACAUUCGUCCUUAGAAUACGUGACGCGGUCGGAGAUUAUAAUGGGUGGCAUUUUAGUCAUUUCGCUUAUGUCUGAAAUUUCGACCUGAUAUUUUUGAAAUAAAAUACUCGACGUACGAUGAACAUUGGACGGUUAAAAUAAGCGGAAUUUUACCAACAUAAUUCUCGUGUUCUUUAUGGCCCGUUCAAUCGGCGUAGUCUUAUUGCCUACACCUGGUGCACCGGUGAGCUCGUGCACCACACUCCAUCAACAAUUUUACGUAUUGAAUAAUUUGAUCUUAUCCUUCAACAAUAUGUAUGAAUGAUUGGAUAAAAAAUAAGAUCAUAUAUAGGGGUACCUGCUACACUACCUAGGUUUAGCAAAUAAUUUUUCAAGAUAAAUAAAAUUGAUGUAAUAGCAAAAUUAGAGGAGAGUUAUGCAUUGAUAUUAUUGGAAGCGUGAUUUUUUCUAAUAUCAAUUGUUAGAAUCGAUAUUUGCAUUGAUACAGAUUAUGUCAAGAUUCAAAAUAGAACAAAAUUAUAUGAGGAAAAGAUACUAAAGACCCUAGAAGACACACCCUCGGUCUUAUACAGCCACGUCUACUGUGGCUUGUUCCUCUUAGUAAUCUAUGUCUAACUAUAUAUAGCUAUUAAAUCAUAACAGAUGAUAAAUUCAACUUUUACUUUAGAUAAUUAUAUAUCCUGCUCAAAUUAUAUUAGUUUUUAAAUAUAGUCAAUGUAUAUUUUGGAUAAACUCUAUCUCUAAUUAAAUUUUAGAUCACGUUUGGAUUACUAUUCCAAUAGAUACAUCACCCAUGGAAUCAAGCACCUUUGACCCGUCGAUUACUAUUCCAAUAAAUUUAGUCAAUUAAUUGAUAAGUGUACAUGUGUAUAACAUUACUAGACACAGUCCAAGUAAGACAAUUUCAUUUUGAUUCGUUAACGCCUUGGUUGUAAGAUCAUUGGAUCCGUCGAGGCCAUAAUUUCAACAUCGUUUUGUUAAACUUAAAAAUGAAGCAAGUAUAAUUGCUCUCCACUCACCUUUUUAAAUGCACAAAAUUAAAUACAAGUUGCAUCUUAACAACCUAGCCCAUUAAUUAAUUAAUUAAUUAAUUAAUUAAUAAUUGUAUAUUAAGUCGGUUCCCUAAUUAUUAUUCACAAGAUAAAAGCAUGCUUUCGAAACUGAGUUAAUAAAGUGCGAAAUAUAACUGGACAUGUUUUCUAAGUUUCUUUGUUUCUAAGUGUAUACACAAAUUACGAUACAAUUUUUAAUUUCAAUCUGUUGCCCAUCCAUUAUGGACAUAUAAAUUAAAGAUGCAUAAAAAUUAUCAAUGCGUACGCGUACAAAUACAAGCUUACAUUAAUAACAAAGUCAAUGUAAUACAAGCUUAUAUUAAUAAUGAACACAACAAGUUUACAUAUUAAUUAAUGUUAUUCAUUUAACUCCACCAGGCACUCACAAAAGGAAAUUAACCAUGAUAACAAAUAACGUAAAAAAGCCUUCCAAACCAACAUUUUAUAACCCCUUGCAAGCGUGCAUGCAUGCAUGCACGCAUGCACGUACGUAACCGCCUCAAACGAACUUAACCGCAAUCGGGGUUUUGACGACCCGAUCCCCAGAGACCCACUCGAUUUUCCCCGCGGCGUACUUGACCGGCACGACAUCCGAGGCAGGUCUGAGCACCGCGAGGCUAACGUUAAAGCUCGCCUCCUGGUACAACCUCGAAAAGCGCAGCUGAUGCGUUGACAAGUCAACCCUCACCCCCCUCCGGCACCGUGAUGCGCGCCCUGUACACCGAUCUCGGAUUCCCGACGUUCGUCGCGGUCCGGCUCACCGUUACAGCGGGCCCUUCCCUCCGCUGCAGCGACACCUGUAUCGACGGGUAGUUCAUCAUCGGCGCACUUGUCCACCUCAUGGCCGAGCAAUUCAUCCGCCUACGGUACAACAUCCGCAUCUCCAUGUUGGUGUACCCGAGUGCGCAUAAAUAGCCGGCAUAGUCACCAGGCUGGAUGUCGUACACAAGCCCGGGAUCAAUAGCUCUCAGGGGGUCGACGUGUCCGGCGCCAGUCGUGAAUAUGCCUGCCGUUCUGUUCGAUAGCUCAUCGGUGAUCGGAUUCCCGUCGAGGUCGACGUCCUUUGCCGAUGUUAUAAUUGCCGAGUGUACGAAAGCUGGCGACCAUGUCGGGUGUUUGUUUCCGAUCAGCGCGGCAAUGCCGGCCACGUGAGGGGUCGCCAUCGACGUGCCGCUGUCAAAGUUGAAUGUCGAUUCUGCAAGCCCAGAUGGAUUGGACCCGACCUCGAACGGCCAUGCUGCGAGGAUGUUCACACCCGGCGCGAGCACGUCGGGCUUCAAAAUCCCUCCAUUCGACAGCGGCGGCCCACGGGAGGAGAAGUAGGCUACCGCGGGCGACGGGCGGUGGCCAUACGUCGUCGCAUUGAAAAUGAUCGACGCAUUUGCACCACUAACGCCCGUUGAAUUUUGCAGCGAGUAGUAGUAGGUUUGAACCUUUAGCCCAUCCAAGUAGCCCAAGUGCACCACCGGAAGAACGUGUGGUUCUGAAAGCGUCGAGUAACCUUUCUCCUCCGGAUUCAGCAGUAUCAGCGCCGCCCCGCCGGCCGCGUACACCACCUCGCCCUUCUCGACGUUCCUGCUGUUGCCAAGGUGGCACAGCACUAUCUUCUUCCACACAUCGAUGGAGUUCAGUGACCCUUUCAGGCAGUACUUCGCACUACGGCGGCCAAUCGCCCCCGGAUAUACAAUCGGCAGCGUUCUCGACGUGUUGAACGAGCUCGGCUGGUAUGCUGUUUCGCCCUCUAGCGCUUCUCCGUUCCCGAGUUUCACGAUAGAUUUAAUCCUCCGGUCAGUAGAUGUUGCCCCAACCGUCAAUACCUGUUAAAUAUAAAGUACUAAAUACCUUUUUUUUUUUGGUUGCAACGUAAAGCAUCGUUCUUUUAUUAAAACAUGAGAUCCGGAGUUGAUACCAGUACGCACCCACGGCGCGUCAUGUGCCAACGUAUUCUCAUUCGCCCCCAAGUUGCCUGCAGCAGUGACGGCAGCUAUCCCGCGCAACACUGCAGCCAGCGACCCCUUCGACACGCCAUCAUUGUAAUACCUAUCCGCUGCAUUGCCGCCGAGGGACAUGGAGAUGAUGUCGACGCGGUCGUAGAUGGCCUGGUCGAUCGCGGCAAGUACGUCGCUGGCAGUGCAGCCGUCUUUGAAGCACACCUUGUAAAUGGCGAGGUGCGCCCGUGGCGCCAUCCCCGCAGCGGUGCCAAGAGUGCUUCCGAGGACGCUGGCGUUGUCGAUGAAGUUCCCGGCGGCGAUGCUGGCCACGUGGGUCCCGUGCCCCGCGGUGUCGACCGCCGAGGCGUUCGGUGACGCUUUGAACCCGCGCGCGGCGAUGAUCUUGUUGUUGCACGAGACCCCGCUCGCCACGGAGCAGUUUCCUCGCCAGUUGGGCGGCGGCAGCGGCAUGUCCGAGUCGCCGAACGAGGGGUGCGUCGGGUGGAUCCCCGUGUCCAGGAUCCCGAUCACGACGCCCUGGCCGAAGCUCGCGUCUGCCUACGUGGCGCCGCUCCGUUGGGUGAGGCCCAUGAACUGGGGGGUGUACGUGGUGAGGAGUGGGUGGACCUGGUCCACGCUCGCGUGGACGAACCCGGGCUUCGACUCCAUGGCCCUGACCUCGGCUGGCGUCAGCCGCGCCGCGAACCCGCUCAUGACGUCACGGUGUAGGAGUAGACGAGGCGGGGCGCGCCGGAGUGCAAAGUCGGCGUCGGUAAGAAAGACCCGUGAUAGCCACGUAAGUCGUCGAAGCCUAAGGAGUCGGCGCCGAGUGGCUCGUCGACGUGGACGAUGUACGUGCGGAGUUCGUUGGAGUCGGCGUUUGGUUCGUUCACGAUGGGGAAUAGCUGCGCAUGAAUAUUAAUCGUUAUAAUAAUUGUUAGAAGAGAAUAGACGGUGACGAGAACAAGUCGUUGCCGAGUCUUCAUUUUUGUGUGUGAACGAACGAUAAAAGUGAUCAGAGAAGAAGAGAGCGCAUCUGAGCCAGGUUUCUACAAUGGGAGUAUAUAUAUAUAUAUAUAUAUAUAUAUAUAUAUAUAUAUAUAUAUAUAUAUAUAUAGUUGAGCNAAGUCUUGUAAUCAAGAUCAAGAGUAUAGAUCUUGUUUUAAAUAGUUUAAAGAAUUUUCUAACAAAAAUUCAAUUGAUUUGAAUAUCUUUACACCGUUAAACGAGAAAAUGCCUCAUAUCGACCAUUAAAAUUAUAAAUUUUGAAACUCUUUGAUCAUUAAGCAAAUGAUGUCGAAAAGAUUUGAAACUUGAUUUCUAAACACUUCAAGUGAUAUAUAUCAUAUUCAACGGUGCCGAUCGUCGAUUUGGAGGCUCCAUCAUCGAAAAUAAAUGGGUGGUAAAAGAGUCCGUUUGCUAUCGAUAGUAUUCUAGCUCAACUAAUAUAUAUAUAUAUAUAUAUAUAUAUAUAUAUAUAUAUAUAUAUAUAUAUAUAUAUAUAUAUAUAUAUAUAUAUAUAUAUGUAGAGAUCGGUGCACAUGGGCUAGAGAACUGGGGAGAGUAGAUACAUACAUGUAUAUAUGUAGAGAUGCACAUGGCUGUAUUAAUUAUAGGUGUUUUUAGUAGUGAAUCAAAGGUGAAGAAAUUUGUAUUAGAGAUGUUUUAAGUAGUGAAUUAUAGGUGAAUUAUGGUAAGCAUGCAAUGAACGUCUGCAUUAUUUUUAUUAAACAAACACGAAGAAAUAAUAGUGGGAAUCCGAUGGCCAUACAGCGAAGUGACAGUGUUAUAAUAAUAAUAAUAAAAGAUCUAAUUCGUUGGCUACAUAAAAAAUUUAAAAAAAGUCUAAACAAAUAAAGAAAUGUAAUAUUUAUUAUCCACGAACGAGACAAAACAGUGAGUUUUAUUAAAAUCCAAAUAAACAUAAAAAAUAACUCUCUCAGAAAACCCUGACUCCAAAAUCCAUCACAUCAUUUCUCUCAUCCACUGCAUUAACUUAAAAAAUAAGGAUAUAUUUAUAUUACGAACUAAACUAUGAUAAAAUCAGAAAAAAAAAUCAAUAUGAUUUACAAUAAUCUUAAGUUAUCUAAAUGGAAUGGAGCAAACCUGUACACUCCUAAAAGGUGUGUAAAUUUUACACCUAUUUAUCCAAUUAUCAAUAUUUGCACUGUGUGGACCGGAGAUAUGGCUUGCGCAUUGUGUGGGGUUUUUGACGAGUCGGUGGAUCAUCUGUUCACCCAAUGCAUACUUAUCAAAUUUAUCAUGGUCUUAGGACUCGACGACGUUCAGCCGGAGGACCAUCUCAGCAAGAGAGGAUGGACUGGAGAUAUGGCUUGCGCGUUGUGUGGGAUUUUUGACGAGUCGGUGGAUCAUCUGUUCACCCAAUACAUACUUAUCAAAUUUAUCAUGGUCUUGGGACUCGACGACGUUCAGCCGGAGGACCUGGGUGAUGAUGUUCAUGCUGUCUGGGAUAGGUGGAGGGGACGGUAUGGUGCACUAAAUAGAAGGAACGGACUAGCUGAUUUAGCUGCAUGCUGGUGGACCAUCUGGAAGGCCCGAAACAAUCGAAUAUUUCGUAACAUACAAGUGGACCCGGUUUCGGUGGUGCGUAGGCUCAAACAGCUGAUUCAUUUGUGGAAGGACUCUUUAUGAUUGCGUGUUUUUUUUUUUUUUCUCUCUCUCUCUGAGACCCGGAUUGUCUCACCUCUGUAGCCUAAUUCAUAUCUUCAAUGAAUGAAGCAAAUAGCGCGCUACCUAUUCUCAAAAAAAUAUUAGCACCUUACAAGAUGUACACUCUUUUUUGGAUGGUAUGCCUAAAUAGUAACCGGUGUAAAAACUUAAUUUAGGCUCAAGGUUCGUCAUCAACCGACCAUUUCUAGUGUAAGCGGUAAGGGCUUAGUAGUUGAUACUUGAGGUUUCAAGUUCGAAUGCUAUUUGAUUCACAUUUACAAGUAAGUUUAUUUGUAAAUAAAAUAAACGACUCAUGUAGUAUGCUAUCUAUCUCUCUCUCUAAAAAGAAAAAAGGGUUCGUCAUCGAAACAUAGUUUAUUUGGAUGAUGACAAGAUAUUAGCUAAUUGUUUUCUUUCCAAGAUCAUCGAUCUAAAUAGAAAAGCUAUUUAAGAACUAUUAUUGUUUUUGGGUUUUGAUCUUCUCGAGUCUUUCAAAGUAAAGGCCUGUGAAGUUAAGAAACCUUUUUCCUUACAUCUUUACUGAAAUAAAAUAAAAUAAAAUAAAAUAAAUCCCCUGCACUAAAAACCCCAAACGCGUCACACUCUUAACUCGAUGAGAUACAGUUUACUAUAGUCGACUUUAACGGUGAUGGGGCGGGUUGGACGGCUGGGAGAUGCCCGGUCCUACUCGGACACGUGUCAGAAAAUCAUUAGUUGUUAUUGCUGUUUCGUGUUGUAGGGCGUGGUCGGUUUAAUCGUGUCAUCGUCGUUCCAGGGUUAUUAUUGUCAUUACGAAAGGGGUUACAAAAGCGGUGCGAUGCGUGUUCGUCCGUACAAUCAGUGGAGGACGUGGAGCGGUCGGAUAUUAUGAUGUCUGAAAUUUCGACCUGAUAUUUUUGAGAUUAAACAGAUGACGUCCGAUGAACAUUGGACGGUUAGAUUAAGCGUAAUUUUCACCAACAUAUUCGGUUAGAUUAAGCGUAACUUUUUUCUUAAAAAAAAAUUCAUGUAUAUAUAUAUAUAUAUAUACACAUAUAUGGUGAUCUGGUACACCAGAUGCAACCAAUAAUUUCAGGUCCGCGUAUAUAACUUUGAUUGCACUUAUUGGAUUCACAUAGCCCAUAAUUUCUCCAUUAUUUUGUUACACUUGCCAAUGAAGCGACUAUAAAAUUCCUUCUUUAAUGCACAAAAUCGAAGUUGAAUCUUAAUAGCCAAGAUCCAUUUAUAAAUUAAUUAAAGUAUAUAAAUCCGGACCCAAAAUUAUAAUUCAUCAUAUGAUGUAGGAACAGUAUACUAUCCUCCUCUUUUAAUAUUUAUAAUUUUUUUUAUUUAACAAAUCCUAUACAUAUAGUGCUUACCCUGGGAGCGCGUUUGGACCGUAUUAUAUUGUCAAGAUUAUAAAAAAAAUUUGCUAAAAAUUAUUAUAUUUGAUUCAUCAAAUCUAUAAUCUGAUAAAUAAUAUAGAAUUACAAAUAAUGCAUGACUAUUUCAAAAGUUGAGAUAAAUAUCUCCUAUUAUUGGUAUCGGAUAAUCUUACAUGAUAUAUAAAAUAUCCUGUCUCGUAUUAUAUAAUUGGAAUUAAAUGCGCUGUAUGUACGUAUGUAUGCAUGCAUAGACGUACAUUACCCCAUCAAACGAACUUAACCGCAAUGGGGGUCUUGACCACACGAUUCCCGGAGACCCACUCGAUCUUCCCCGCCGCGUACUUGGGCGGCACGAAGCCCGAGGGAGGGCUGAUCACCGUUAGAGUAACGUCGAAGCUCGCCUCCUCGUACAGCCUCGAAAAGCGUAGCUGGUGUGUUGACAAGUCAACCCUCAUCAGCUGCGGCGCCGUGAUCCGCGCCGUGUACACCGACCUCGGAUCCCCGACGUUCGUCACCGUGCGGCUCACCGUCACCGUGGACCUCACCCUCCUCGGCAGCGACACCUGUAUCGACGGGUAGUUCAUCGCCGACGCAGGUAUCCAAUUCACGGCCGAGCACGUCACCGGCCUGUUGUACAGCAUUUGCAGUUCCCAGUCGGCGUACCCAAGCCCGCAUAAAUAGCCGACAUAGUCGUCGGGCUGGAUGUCGUACACGAGCCCGGGAUCCAUAGCCCUCACGGGGUCGACGUGUCCGGCGCCAGUUGCGAAUAUGCUUGCUGUGCGGUUCAAUUUCUCGUCGGCGAUCGGAUUCCCGUUGAGGUCGACGUCCUUUGCCGAUGUUAUAACUGCCGAGUUUACGUAAGCUGGCGGCCACGUUGGGUGUUUUUUCUUGAUCAGCGCGGUAAUGCCGGCCACGUGAGGGGUCGCCAUCGACGUGCCGCUCUCGAAAUUGAAUGUCCAUACGGUAAGCCCGGAGGGAUUGGGUCCGACUGCGAACGGCCAUGCCGCGAGGAUGUUCGAACCAGGGGCGAGUACGUCGGGCUUUAAAAUCCCACCGUUCGAGGGUGGCGGCCCACGGGAGGAGAAGGCGACCACCGCCGGCGAUGGCCGGUUGCCGUACGUCGUCUUGUGGAAGACGAUCGACGCAUUGGCAGCACUAACGCCUGAAGAAUUUAGCAGCGAGUAGUAAUAGGAGGUAAGUUGUAGCCUACCGUAGUGGGUCAAGUACACCGCCGGAAGAACGUGCGCGUCCGCAAAUGUCGUGAAACCCAGAUACUGCGGGUUCAGCAGAACCAUCGCCGCCCCGCCGGCCGCGUACACUACCUCGCCUUUCUCGACGUUGGUAUUGUUGCCAAGGUGGCACAGCACUAUCUUCUGCCGUACAUCAAUGUAGUCCAGCGACCCCUUCAAGCAUAACAUUGCAUCGUAGCCGGCGAUCGCCCCCGGGUACACGAUCGGCAGCACUCUCGACUGGUUGAAUGAGCUCGGCUGGUAUGCUGUCUCGCCCUCUAGCUCCUCUCCGUUCCCCAGCUUCACAAUCGCUCUACACCUCCGAUCGGUAGAUGCUGCCCCGACAGUCAGGACCUAUAUAUCAAACUAAAGUAUUAAACACUAUCUUCUCGCGACUUAAAUUUUUACGAGUCAUUCUAUGUUUUAUUGAGAAAAUAGGAGGUUUUGAGCCCAGUUCAGUACCCAUGGCGCGUCAUGUGCCAAAGUGUUCUCAGCCGGUCCUUCGUUCCCAGCAGCGGCGACAGCGAUAAUCCCAUGCGACAAAGCUGCCAGCGACCCCUGGGCUAUGCCGUCAUAGUAAUACCUAUACGUCGCAUUGCCGCCAAUGGACAUGGAGAUGAUGUCAACACCGUCGUAUAUUGCCUGGUCAAUCGCGGCGAGGGUGUUGCUGGUGGCGCAGCCGUUUUCAAAGCACACCUUGUAGAUGGCGAGGUGCGCCCGCGGCGCCAUCCCCGUGGCGGUGCCGAAGGCGCGUCCGAGGACGUUGGCGUUGUCGAGGGAGUUCCCGGCGGCGGUGCUGGCAACGUGGGUGCCGUGCCCGUCGGUGUCGAGCGCCGUGGCGUCCACGGAAUUGUUGAACCCGCGCGCGGCGAUGAUCUUGUUGUUGCACCAGACCCCGCUCGCCAAGGAGCAGUUUCCUCGCCAGUUGGGCGGGGGCGGCGGCAUCCCGGCGGGGUCGAACGAGGGGUGCGUCGGGUGGAUCCCCGUGUCCAGGAUCCCGAUCACGACGCCCUGCCCGAAGCCCGCGCUCGCCCACGCGGCGCUGUUCUGUUGGGUGAGGCCCAUGAACUCGGGGGUGUACGUGGUGAGGAGCGGGUGGACCUGGUCCACGCGCGCGUGGACGAACCCGGGCUUCGACUCCAUGUCGGCGACCUCGGCCGGCGUCAGCCGCGCCGCGAACCCGCUCAUGACGUCACGGUAGGAGUAGAUGAGACGGGGCGCGCCCGAAUCCAAAGUCGGCGUCGGCAGAAACGACUCGUGGUAGCUGCGUAAUUCGUGGGCGCCAAAGGAGUCGGCGCCGAGUGGCUUGUCCACGUUGACGAUGUACGUUUGGAGCACGUUGGAGUCGGCGUUGGGUUCGUUCACUAUGGGGAAUAGCUGUGCGUGGACAAUAGCAACAAUAGGAAGGAGAGAAGAGAAUGCGGUGAGGAGAGCAAGCCGUUGCCGACUCUUCAUUUUUGCGCGGGACCGAACGAUAACAAUGCUCGGAGAAGAGGAAGAAGAAGAGGGUGAGCAUGUGGGAUACGGUUCUCCACAGGUAGAAGAGAUAUAUAUAUAUAAAUAUACUCGGCAUAGAUCGAUGCACACGGGCUAGAACAAGGAAGAGGGAAAGUGCCUGUAUUAAUUAUAUGUGAAUUAAGAAGUGAAUUAUAGGUAAAUUAUGGGGAGCAUGCAAGGAGCGUUUGCCUUAUGUUUAUCGUGAGCAACCAUGAUGAAAUUAAUCAUAGCUGGGAAUACAAGGGGCAUACAGUGAAGUGAUAGAACAGUCACUUUCAUUAUUUAUAACAAAAAGCAAAAAAUCUAGUCUCUGGGUACGAAAAAAAAAAGUAACAUAAUUAAUAUUUAUCGUCCAUGGCCGAAAAUAGAACAGUAAUUAUCAUUGUAAUCCAAACAGAAUGGGAAAGCUGACUCUUUUAUAAAAUUCUAACUCUGAAUUGAAAUACAUCUCAUAAUUUCUCUCAUCCAUUGCCUUAAUUUAAAAAUAAAGGGUAUAUAUAUAUAUAUAUAUAUAUAUAUAUUUGAAAGUAAAGCUAUCUCUCUCUCAAAAAAAAAAAGAAAAAGUAAAGCUGAAUUAAAUUAGAAAUAUAAAAUUUAUUACCAUUAGCAACAGUUUUAAGUUAACUAAAUAGGAUAGAGCAAACUUGUACACUCCAAAAAGACAUGUACGUAGAUCUUACAUCCUCCAUCCGAUUGCCAAAAUUAGCACUUUGUAAGAUUCCAGAUGUAUAAUAUAACAAUCUCAACCUUUUUUAACUUCUUAUCUUUUUCAACCUUUUUUAACUUCUUAUCUUUUUCGUUAAAACUCAAAAGGCUCCUCUAAGUGCUACCAAGCCAAAAUUACAUAAUAUCAAAUUUGGUUAUCGCAAAAGACUUGAUAAGCAAAUUCGCAAAUUCCUGAAGUGUUAAUCUUAUUCUUUUCCGGUAACACUUUUUGUCAAUCAUGUUGCAUCAAAUCAAAUAAUAUAGAAAAGAUCUUGAACAACCAAAUAAAUAAUUCAACUUUGGAUACUACUUUGUUACAGAAAUAUAAAAAAAAUCUAGUUCAUCGAAUACAAAAAAUUAACAAAAAAUAAAUUAGAAAAUAAAAAAAAUGUAUAAAUAUUUAUAUGAUUCCACAAUUGAUUAAUUACACCGACAAAACUGGAACGAAAAAUUUUAUUGUUAUCGAAAAUGGAGUACUUGUACCUCUCUGGGCUUUUUUUGCAAAUAGCCCUGUCCAAAAUUUAUUUGCAAAAAUGGUCCUGGCCCUGCCACGCCAGCGCCACGUCAGCGCCACGCGGACAGGGCCUGGGCCAGGUAUUCAAGUUGAACACGGUGAUUCGUUCACCGUGUCUAAACACGGUGAACCAAUCACCGUGUUCAAUAGGAAUGCGGCGGUCGGUAUUUCUAUUGAACACGGUGAAUGGUUCAUCAUGUCUAGACAUGGUAAUUGGUUCACCAUGUUUGAUAGAAAUAUCGCAAAAAUGGGUAUGGUAUUUCUAUUGGACACGGUGAACUAUUCACCGUGUCUACACACGGUGAACCAUUCACCGUGUUCUCUUACACACCACCGUGUUCUCUUACACACACACACACACCCACCCACUCCCCCCCCCCCCCCCACCCACGAACUCUGUCUCGAUCUCUGUCUCUAAAUGCAAUUCUGAUGGGCACGGAAUUGGGUUCAUCCGUGUCUGAGCAAACCCUCACUGACACGGUGAAACCAUUCACGUGUUCUGCUUUGAUAACCCGCCCGCCCCCCCACCACCCCCCCCCCGAAAACGCUGUCAUGAUACUCUCUCCAUACUCUCUCUCUUCUUCUCCUUAAGAGGGUUACAGGGAAUGGUUUUGGGAAUGGUGCGUAUGUGAAUUAUUGCCACUUCUCUCUCUCGAUCUCUCUCUCUCUCUCGCUCUCUUCCUCUUGCUCUCUCUCUCUCUCUGGCCGAAUCACCGUGUUUAGACAUGGUGAACGAAUCACCGUGUCUAAUGCAAGCUAAAAUCCUGGGCGGGGCGUGAGUAACACUGUGACACGGUGAUUGGUUCACCGUGUUUAGACACGGUAAACGAAUCACCGUGUUCAACUUGAAUACCUGACCCAGGUCCUGCCCGCGUGGCGCUGACAUGGCGCUGGCGUGGCAGGGUCAGAGCCAUUUUUGCAAAUAAAUUUUAGACAGGACUAUUUUUGUAAAUAAAAUUUGUUAGAGGGCUAUUUGCAAAAAAAGCCCACCUCUAUGGACCCAAGCCGAAAAUAUAUCUGAUGCGCAUGGACUUUGUCAUACGGCAUCUAUGCCACGGCUGUACAAUUAAUUCCUUUUUUAAUGCACAAAAUGGAAGUUGCAUCUUAAUAGCCAUGGUCCAUUUAUUAAUUAAUUGAAGUAUAUAAAUCCGGACCCAAAAUCCUAUUUAGUGCUGAUCCGAUUGGUCUGGAUUAUAUUGUCAGGAUUAUAUAUAAUUCUAUCAAGAUUACUUAUUCAACCAAUCUGUAAUCUGAUUACAAAUGAUGCAUGACUAUUCCAAAAGUGAAGGUAAAUAUCUUGUAUUACUGAUGUGGAACAAUAUUACAUGAUAUAUAAAAUAUCCCGUCGUAUUAUACAAUUCGAAAUCAAAUGCGCCCGCACGUGUAUGUAUGCAUGCAUAGACGUACAUUACCAAAUCAAGCGAACUUAACCGCAAUGGGGGUCUUGACCACACGAUUCCCGGAGACCCACUCGAUCUUCCCCGCCGCGUACUUGGGCGGCACGAAGCCCGAGGGAGGCCUGAUCACCGUUAGAGCAACGUCGAAGCUCGCCUCCUCGUACAGCCUCGAAAAGCGCAGCCGGUAUGUCGACAAGUCAACCCUCAUCAGCUGCGGCGCCGUGAUCCUCGCCGUGUACACCGACCUCGGAUCCCCGACAUUCGUCACUGUGCGGCUCACCGUCACCGUGGACCCCACCAUGCUCGGCAGCGACACCUGUAUCGAUGGGUAGUUCAUCGCCGACGCCUGUAUCCAACUCACGGCCGAGCACGUCACCGGCCUGUUGUACAGCAUUUGCAGUUCCCAGUCGGCGUACCCAAGCCCGCAUAAAUAGCCAACAUAGUCGUCGGGCCGGAUGUCGUACACGAGCCCGGGAUCCAUAGCCCUCACGGGGUCGACGUGUCCGGCGCCGGUCGCGAAUAUGCUCGCCUUGCCGUUCGAUAGCUCGUCGGCGAUCGGAUUCCCGUCGAUGUCGACGUCCUUAGCCGACGUUAUAAUUGCCGAGUUUGCGUAAGCUGGCGGCCACGUUGGGUGUUUUCUCUUGAUCAGCGCUGCAAUGCCGGCCACGUGAGGGGUCGCCAUCGACGUGCCACUCUCGAAGUUGAAUGUCCAUACGGUGAGCCCCGAGGGAUUGGGUCCAACUGCGAACGGCCAUGCCGCGAGGAUGUUUGAACCUGGGGCGAGCACGUCGGGCUUUAAAAUCCCACCGUUCGACGGUGGCGGCCCACGGGAGGAGAAGGCGACCACCGCGGGAGAUGGGCGGUUGCCGUACGUCGUCCGGUGGAAGACGAUCGACGCAUGGGCAGCACUAACGCCUGAAGAAUUUAGCAGCGAGUAGUAAUAGUUUAGAAGUUGUACCCUACCAAAGUGGCUCAAGUGCACCGCCGGAAGAACGUGCGGGUCAGCAGGCGUCGUGAAGCCCCGCGAAGGCGGAUUCAGCAGUACCAUGGCCGCCCCGCCAGCCGCGUACACCACCUCACCCUUCUCAACGUUGGUAUUCCCGCCAAGGUGGCACAGCACUAUCUUCUGCCGCACAUCGAUGUGGUCCAGCGACCCCUUCAAGCAUACCGAUGCAUUCUUCCAGACGAUUGCCCCCGGGUACACGAUCGGCAGCAUUCUCGACUGGUUGAAUGAGCUCGGCUGGUAUGCUGUCUCG
rnacentral:lncRNA from 1 species